GUGCAGCUGUCUGGGAGCCCAGGAAGUCACACCCGUCUCGCGCACUGAGCUGAAGCUCCAACCCACGUGGCGAAUAGCGAACCCCCGGUGCUGAAGGGAGUGCCUAGCAGGGCCCCUCCUCCAAAUCAGGGUACUUGGACUAGAUGGCAGUUCCGUGUUGCAUGGCGUAUUUGAGCAUGACGAGAUGCCAGUGAGGUGUGGAGAAACAGAGGAAUGAAAAGUUCCCUGUGCAUCCAAAAGACACACCGCCUCUCACUUUUCAUAAUGCUGGAUGGAACUGUGUGGCUAAUACAUAUUCAUAAGUCCAAGGAGAAUGUCUUAGAUAAAUGAACAAACAUCACAGGAUCGCUUGCUGGGCGGCUCGGCUAAUGCAUCAGAAUUAGUAAUGUGUUAUUUACAGAAGUGAAAUAUUGGCUUCCCUUGGCACCUUUUCCUACAUGUAGAUUACUGGCCCAUUUUAAAUUUUUGUGUGUAUAUAAUUUUAACUAUUUUUGGUAGUUAAAUAUGAUCUAGCAAUAUUUUAGUUUUAUAAGAUAUGAAUCUUGAAAAUUUUUAUUUUCUCAAAUGGAAAUCUUCACAUUGCAGAGAUAAUGACUUUGAAGGCCCCUUCUUAUAUCCAUGUAUUUACUUGUAUUCCCACCAAUAAGGAGCACUUACCCAUGGGAUGCUAAUACUUUUUAAAACAAAUGGUUCUAUUUUCAGGACUUCACAGGUAAUGAGACAACCUAUCUGUUAAUUGAAGAGGAGCUGACACUAUUAAAUUUGGUUCUAUAUGGAAGUGUUGAAAUAGUAAAAGCAUUGCUUGCUCUUCUUAAGAAGUUUCUAUUUAUGAAUUAAGGAAGUCAACUCUCUUUACUUAGGUGUGGGGCUUUGUAAGAUGGACUCCCGUAAUCCUGGGAUUUUAACUAGCAUGAUUCUGUGCAGGUAAACACUGCUGCUGUGAGUUCAUGAGCGUAACAGUCAUGUUACCCCCAGAACACGACUUUUCAUGGCACUCCUCCCUGUUGUCAAACUCUCACACCUUUUCUGUCUCCUUCCUAUGAUGUUCCCUGCAUACUGAAGGAGGAGUGCCGAUAUAGACAUUGAUCCAUGAUUGAGCAUUCUUCACCACUUAGUCUGCAACUCUUGACCAAUUAUAAAUCUGUGUAUUGACCACCACACACCUCAAAGAGAAUCUUCUCUUGCAGAGACCAAUAGCAACUUACCCUUUAAAACAGUUUAAUAAAAACUUUCAGUGACACAGGCUAAUUCAAGAAGAAAUUCCAUGGGAAUUUCAGAAAAAAGAUGGAAAAAUCCAGAAAAGCAGAAAAGAUGGAAAAAUCCAGAAAAUCCAACUGAGAAGCUCAGUAACGCUUAGGGUUCAAGCCAUAGCUAAUAGCUAAUGGGUUUAAUAUCCCAGAAACUGUUUCCUGUAUAAUAAGGCAACAUUAUUCUUUUUCUUUCUUUCUUUGGCUUUUUUUUCCUUAUGAAAAUGGACUCUGGUUUAUUUGCUAUCAGGAGCACACAAAAGUCCUUUGAAUGGCCGGUCUGUUCCGUUCCUCUCCAUGUCCCCUUUCUCUCACAGGAGUCUUGCUUUCCCCCUUUCUGGCCCCACACAUACUUUCCUUAAAACAAACAUCCUUGUUUUAAAAGCAAAGAAGACUCUGCUCUCCAUUCUUCUUUGACUUCCCACACAUUGCUGUUAACGAUUCCCCAAACACAGAUGGAAGACAGGCUUGGACUCUUCCACUGUAAGCUAUUUCACAAGAUCUCUGCCCUUUAAAUAUUUUGAUUUGUUCUUCUGGAAAGAAACUUUCCCUGUCAGCUCCCCACCCCCUCCCCUGCUCCCCACGUGCUCACCACCACUAAGAAUUGGUUAUUUGUGAACGUUACCAUUUUGUUAGUUUCAUCCUUUUAGUGAUACAGGGCUAAAAACUAACAGUAAUCUUGCAUUCAAGAUUACUAUGUGCAUCUAGGAUGCACCCAUGGAAAAGAAACAUUAUUACAUUAGUUAAUUAUCAUUCAUAAUUUUCUGUUUUACCAGCGAGCUAAGGAAGGCAUGGCCAACAUUCUCAGUGGACUGGGGAAAUUUUGGACUGCACUUUGUCCUUGUUCCUGGAGUUUAAGACCACUGGCUUUUCAUGCCGUCAGAAGUGAUGUAAAUGUAGACUGUUCCUUUUCAAAGGGAUGGGCUUCACCUUGUCACAACCACUAUUGUCAGCAUGAAAUAUUAUAAAAAGCUGUUGAGCAUAAUUCCAAAAUAAUCUAAUGCAUUUUUUGAAAAGGUUUAGUAUAGAAGAAAAAGUAUAUGGUUCAGAGAUUACUCAGAAAUGCAAAUGCCUGAGAACUUGCCCUUGGAUCUGCUGUCAUGUCCUUAUCGCCACCAUGAUCUUAACUUUAUCUUAAACCAGAAUCAACUGUAUACUUCUUCUAAUGCCAAUAUUUAUUAUCGCAUGAUUUUUCCAGCAUUGCUUGAAAAACUUGAGGCACUUCUAAUUUAAGAACAUUCAUUACACCAAAUUGCCUAAUCUGCAAGAAACACAUCUCUUCUUUUCCUCCCUUCCUCACUCCCUUCCUUUAUUAAAAACACAAGCUUGGAAGUUAAAAUAUAUAUCAUUAAAAUUUCAAACAACUUUGAAGAUUUCAUGUUGAUACAUGAUGCAUACAGUCCUAUACCUUGAGAUUAGAACACAGCUAAGAAUACAUUUAAACUGAUUUUAGUGUUUCUAUGCUUCUUGUAAUUUAUAGAUGAUAAAGUUCUGGCUAUGUAUAUAAUACAUAUUUCUCUCUCGAUAUAUAUAUAUAUAUAUAUAUAUAUAUAUAUAUAUAUGAAUGUGUGUCAAAGGAACAUAGAAACAUUUCAUUAAAAGUACCACUAAUACUGAGUAUACACACAUACACAUACAUCAAACUUAAAAUCUAUAUCCCAAAAUAUUUCCUGUUAUAUAUUUUUUAAUUUUAUCCUUUAAAUUUAUGUAUUAUACAAAUAAAUAUAUUUAUACAUUUUGAAUAUAAUAUGUGUAUCAGAAACAUCAAUUAUAUACUUAUGUUAUACUAGAAUCUGCAUAUCUAUAUUUAUAAACAGAAAGAUAAAAUAUCAACAAAUGAGAUCUCACGGUAUAUGGAUUCUUACUCUUCUGUUCUUGACAAGUUUUAUAUGCGCAAACAAGUGUGUGUCCUCAGACAUACAUGUAGUCUACCUUAAUACUGUCCUUUACCAAAUUUACUUGUGUUUGUUCUAGGCAUGAGGUAGCAUUGCAUCUCAUUUGAAGUUAGAUGAAGAGAUGUAGCUUACAUGGUCAGUGGAAUGUGAGCAGAUGUAGUGCAUUUCACACACAGGUGGAAGAUCCAAAAGCCACUGUUUAGCUUAUGUCAUUAUCUGCACUAUGGUGACUGUCAAGCACAUAUUGGCCUGACAUCUUUGUCAGGCUGGGUUUCUGAUUGGUUAGGAUACACAGACAUUUCUAAUACCCUGAAACAGGCAAGAUUGGCAGGAAAUAAACUUUUGUUGUACAAAAUUGCUGCAAUAUGUGUGGUGGUUGUUAACCCAGCACGAAAAUACAACCCAGCUUGAGUGUUGGCAAACUUUUCCUGUAAAAGGCCAGAGAGUAGGUAUUUUGGCUUUUGUGGCCUACAUAUGGUCUCUAUAAUAUAUUUCCUCAGUCUUUUUUCUUCUCAUAACAAAAUUCAAAAUACAUUCUUAGGGUACAUACAGCCCAUAUGAAAGUGGACUACAGUCCAGGCUAACCCAGUGGGCUAUAGUUUUCUAAUUGUCACCUAAUGACUUCUUGAGAUAAAGACAGGAAAGUGAGGGCCAGGAAAUAGGCCAUGGGUUAAGAGCACUGCUUCCUUUGCAGACCCUAGUGCAGAGCAUCCACAUCUGGCUACUUACAAAAGCUGUAAUGCCACCUCCAUGGGGUCCCACACCAUCUUCUGAAUGCCACAAGAACCUGCAUGUACAUAGAUAUGGUAACAUGCACAGAGGGACACACACCCACCCACCCACCCCCACACACACAUACACACAUACUGGGACACAGCACAUAGACAUAAACAUACAAAUAAAAAUAAAUAAAAAAAUCAGAAAUGAGGAUGUACCUAUUUAGAAAAAAGAGGACAUACUUCUUGUUGCUGUCCAAACCACAGUUAACAUUUCAGUUCAAACAAUUUAUAACAGCAUAUUUAAAAAAAAAACUAUGUAGAAAUUCUUCAUUGUCCAUUUCAUUUACUUUAUUUUUACAUAGAAUGACAAAUUCAAAUGGAGCUCUGUGGUGACAUAGCAUAAAGUUUCUCAAGGUAUUUCCUUGAGCAUUAAGAUGCUACACACAAGCACACAGAUACAAGAUGGAAAGUUGUCUCAACAUAAAAAAUUAUUCUACAGGCUACAUCCACAAGCUCAUUUUUAGCAUGAUGUCUGUCAAUAUGAAAUGGAAUGCCCACUCCUUGGAGCACACUGAACUGCCUUGUUUGGGUUUGUAUUGUUAUUGAGGACCUAGAGUUUGAGUCAUUGCCAGCACAGGAGGUCUGUGUCAACUUUUCAUGUUCUCCUAAGUAUCUGUGUUUGGCCUUAUGAUCUGGCUCUAGGUUUGUAAUAUAUCUGCACAGUUUGUUGUUCAGUCAGGGCUUGCAAUCCAUUUGUGAGUGAUGUUAAAUAACCUCUGAGAGCAUAACACUGUCAUAAUUAUCUUGGUUUCAUAAGAAGCACACCCUGGAGAUGGAAGGACUUCCUUGAGUUUUUUAACCUUUCCAGAUCAGUUGUUUUAUACGACAGAAAAGAAUUGGUAGUAGCAGUUUCUGGAAACUGUCAGGGUUUUAAAAGCAACAAACAGGGCUCAUCAUGGAACUUGUUACCUGUGAUGGACACCCUGCCCCAGUGGACUGCUUCCCUCUCGUACGCGAUCAUCAUCUUCCCAUGUUGAGCAUUCUAAACUCAAUUUUGGAACUGUACAGUGAGAAUCAAGUGUUUUUCGCUUACAGGUACAUCUGAAGGUUGUAGCAAAAUCAAGAAAUGGACCAUGGGACUACAACCCCAGUCCAUGGAAUACUGCCUUCCACACUCAGGGUGCCUUCCAUCCUAAAUUAAACCUUCCUGAAAACAUCCUUCUGGACACACUGAGGGAUGAGUGCUCUUGAUGAUUUUAAUCCUCUCAAGUUGGUCAGCAAGAUUAAUGAUCACACAUUCCAUGUAGACAAGAAAUAAUGGAGUAUAUCUUAAUAUCCUAUUAUAGUUAUUUUUUCCCUACUCUGCAGUAGUGAAAUACUUGCUGAGGAUUCUUUAUUCAAGAAAACAUCAGUGCAGAUGCUUCUUCACUUCAUAUGUACAUAUUUCAAGAUUUUUACUAAAAGUCUGCUGUUCAACAAAUAACCAUGUCGGAAAAUAUAGUUCUGCAGGACAUCAUGUGGAGAGACAUAUUUGAUGAACACUGGUAGAAAUUGAUCAGCUAAUUUUGAGUGCUUCCUAUGGUUAUGAAAGUUGAUGUUAUACCUACACCAAGCCCCAUGUGCAAGACAUCCCACCACCCAAUGUUGAAACAUCAUGUUAGUAAGUUGUUGUUGUUGCUGUUCUGGUUUUGAGACAAGACUGCAUGUAGUUCAGGACCUGCUGGACUUACUAUGGAGCUAAGGAUAACACUUAGUUACUGAUCCUCCUGCCUCCAUUUCUUGAAUCCUGGGACUACAAAGCAUGCAUUACUACACUUAGUUUAAGUGGUUCUAAGCACAGAACUCUGUUUUGUACUUAUGAGACAAGGACUCUACUAACUAACCUACACUGUCACUCCCAUGUUACAUAUAUAUUACAAUAUAAUUACAUUAUUCAUCCUUUCUCUCCCCUCCCUCCUUCCCUUCCAAACUUCCCAUAUAGCUUAUCCUCCUUUGCCUUCUUUCAAAUCCAUGGCCUCUUUUUAAUUGAUGGCUAUUGUGUGCACUAGCAUGCAAUAAAUUUAUGAAUUUAUUGACUGUGAAAAAUACAAAUUGAUUGGGAAUCUUUUCUACCUACUAGGGAACAGUAGGCUUAUGUGACUGUUGUUUUUGGAAUAUUACUCUAGUUUCAGAAGUUUUGGAAAGCUAUGAGUCAUUUAUGUUAUUCACUAAUAUAAUGAAUCUAAGUCUUAUCUAAAUGUUUGUUUUAAUAGCAUUUAAUCAAUGAUUUAAGAAUAAGCUAAAUAGGAAAUUACUGUAGGCUAUAUUACUGUAACUUGCUAACAAUCUGAGCUCAUGCCAACAUUAUAAAUUCUAUUGAAUGGUCUAGUUUGAAAAUCUCUGUUCUGGAACUAGUCUAGUCCCAAGAGGAUCACUGGGGAUAAUAGGCUUUUGAGGACAUAGAUUAGAAAUGAGUGGAGCUGUAAGCAACUGUAAUAAUAAUAAUAAUAAUAAUAAUAAUAAUAAUAAUAAUAAUAAUAAUUCAGGGCUGGGUCUGAAAUUGAUGGAUCUGUGGCAUCAUGAGCAAUAAUAAUCAGAACAGCUUGAUGAGUUGCUGAAUGUCUGAAUGCUGAAUGUCUGACAGCUUCUUCAUUCAACAAUGCUCACAGCUGGACAAGAAAUGAUGCAUUAUAUCUUUUCUGCAAAAAGGAAGAAAGCUUUAGCAUUGAAGAAAUUUGCUCAACAUCACCAUGUUUAUAGCAGGUAGCACCGUGAAGGUAAUAUUCUACUUCAGUGAUGGUUGAUUGAGUCCUGGACUGCAUGACUACUGACUAACUGAGCUUAAUAAAGUAUGCAAAUGAAUUUUCAGUAGUUUUAAAGCUAUACUUCAUGUUUCCAGUUUUCAAACAGUUCCAUGAAAAGCAAUCAACUUUUUUAAUUAAAAAAAAAAAAAGAUGAUGUACUUACACAGCAUCAGGCAUAAUACUGGUGCGUCACAAAAACACUCUGAUAUACUCAUCAAUUCAGUGAUGGAAGUGCAUAUUACUAUUUUCAUUACUAAUAUAAAAACUUCAAGCUCAGAGAGGUAAAGAAAGUUGCUUCAGAUACAGAAAGGAUGUGACAGAGAUACAGUAACAGCAGAAAGUAGCUAUGCAGCUUCUGUUCUGAUAUUUUCUUUGAGGAAGAUUGAAUAAUAGUAGGAUUAUAACAAUAACAACAGAUAAUAUCUCAGAUUUUACCCAUGACAAACACUGUUUAAACACCCUUUGUACUUCCAUAAGUGUAGUGUGUGAAAACAUUCUUUUACUCCUAUUCUGCAAAUGAAGUAAAUAAGUAUAAAAGGCACUAAAUAAUUACCCACCUAAUUGACAGCUAUAAAAAGCCAAUAGUGAAGUAGACUGCAUUGGUCAAAACCUAAGGUCAUACCACAAUAUUAUAUUUAAAAAAUAAACAAAGACUAAAUGCUUACAAAAGUCAUAAGAUUUGGAAAAACAUUUCCAAAUUCUGGGUGCUCUGCCUAAAUCCCAUCUCCAAUUUAGUACUCAAAAGAGUUCAGCAACAUCAUGGGACAGAUAUACUGUGCCAAAAGUCCUUUAGGGAAACAAAUAUUACCUAGAGUUAGAAAUGCAGAGAAUGGAGCAUACAGCCUCAAAGUUCUCCCGAAAUUGAACACUGAAUAUUUUUCAUCUAGUCAGUAAAAGUCAUAAUCUUAUUGAGAUUUCUCUAAGGUAAUUACAGCCGUUAUAAAAAUGGUGGGAUUUAUUUAAAACGUGUGUGCACUCAGCCAUAAAAAUAAAGUGGAGAACAAUGCAAAUCAAAUUGCAUAAUUUGUUCAAAUGCAUGUCUCUUUGGUCACACCUUCUUAAUGAAUAGAAGCAGACAAGCAAGGCAGCUAAUAAGUUAUUUUAAUAGGGUGAUGUAACGGUGUGUGAACUGUUACCUCCUGGGAGAGUGACUGACAGAUUACUGGUCUCAUUACUGUGUAGAUUAGUCUCAGGAAUUCAUUAGUGCCCAGUGUGGCAGCUCUGCUCAGUGCCCUUAAUUUGAAGAAAGAGACAGGAGGCCGGUGUGCCCAUGCAACUCCAAAGACGGAUGAUCUGGAGUUGAAGGCUUUUAGGGCAAAGGACUCUCCUGAGAAGAUGGCAAUUAUUCAUGGGUUUUUUUUUUUCCAAGCCAGUGGUGACAGCUCUCUUUCCUUUAGUCUGUAUCAGUACAUUAAAAAAAAAAUUGCUACAGGCGACUGGAUUUCACGUUACCCUGGAAGAAAGAGAUCUAAUACAGAGUAUUUCAAAGGUAUUAUCUGUAUGGCUGAGCUUAAGUAUAAACAAUUUGAAUUUACAGAAGGAUGAAGGCAAACAGAAGUAGCAUGGAAAAGUGUAAUUUAUCAGUAACUCUAGCAUUUAAUUUUUAUGCAAUAGGUUUGCCCCCAUCGCCAAAGCUUUGUAUUGAUUGAUUAUAAAAUCUUUUAUAUGGUUUUUCUACCACAGGUAGGAAAACCAUUUCUCUGAAGACGCUUUAUAACAAACAAACAAUAUUCUAAUUGUUGGGACAGGAAACAGAAACCUCAAAGCAUUGGUCACAUUCUAUUAAAAAAAAAAACUUUCCAACUUUGACUCUAGCUCUUAGAAAUAAAUUCAUCUUACAAGCAACAAUACCCAUGUAGGAUUUUAUAUCUGAAACCAAAUGUUGCCAUUCCUGUGAUAUAAUAUUUCUGUUUUGUUCUAUUCUAAUCUCUUAAUUCAUAGCACUGUAUAGUAUCAUAUUUUUUAAAAUUAUAUUGUUCAAACUGUUGAUUCUAUUUUAAAAUUAGUUUCAGUUUUAUUUUACCAUUAGCAAUAAUACAGGAUAUGUACAUUGAAAAACUACAGAAUAACCAUCUCAGGGGAAAUUUUUUUCAUGUUAAGUUUUGUAAGAAAAAUUACUGUGUACUUAACACAGCAUCAGGCAUAAUAUCGGUCCUUCACAAAAACACUCUGAUACACUCAUCAAUUCAGUGAUGGAAGUACAUAUUACUAUUUCCAUUACUAAUAUAAAAACAUCAAGCUCAGCGAGGUAAAGAAAGUUGCUUCAGAUACAGAAAGGAUGUGACAGAGAUACAAUAUCAGCAGAAAGUAGCUAUGCAAUAAAUAUUGUUUGAACAAAUAGUGCAUUAUUUGCACACACAAUCUUCACUGCAAAAGUGGGAUAAUUUUGUUAAUAACAGUGACUUCUCCCAGCAAUAACUGCACAACAGAAGACACAGGAAGGCUGGUUUUCAUCAUUCGCUCCUGGGAUCUAGUGAGAGUAUCCGAGUGCCCUCUCUCAAUCAUCCUAUAGACACAGGGCCACUCACACUAAGGUGAUGGGCUCUGGAUAUACUAUCUGAGCUCAUAGGUUGCCUUCUAUUCUUAUUAGCUGCAUAUAAAGCUUGAUUAAAAUUCCUGUGCAUAUUGUUUAAAUCUCUUAUUUCAGUAAAUAAUAUAUAAUAUAGAUGUGUUUGGAAGAUUACAAAUUUUAGCAAUUUAGAACAAUUUCUGACAUCUGGCACCCGGUCAAUCAUUGUCAGCCAUUAGUACAGUUACACUGAGCAUGUUUAUGACUCUAUGCGGCUGAUUCUCCUUCAAAAGACUGGAACAGUGACUUCAAACUCUUACAUAUUUUGUAGUUGGGAACCCAGGCUUCAUUUUCUUUAGCUUUACCUUUAAUAAUUCAAAUUCUCAAGAUGAUAUUCUCUUUGUUUUUAAGAGAACCUGCCAUAGACCUCCUCUCAGACUUACAAAGAAAUAGGUCCCUAACUCUCCUUCACAAGGGAAUACCUGAAGAUCAGCCCUGGAUAUGGCUGUGUUGCUAUCUCUGCAGCUGAAUGGCAGUUUACAGCACUCAAGUCUGAGUCUCACUUUAUUAGUGUCCAAGGGUAACCAUUCUAGCACAUCUUUCAAAAGAUGUUGAGUUAGAACAAUAAGGUCAAGAGCAGAUGAGUCAGCUUGUUUGUAUAGAUUGAGUGACUUACAGCAAGCUAGAGUGGGACGUUCACAAAGAGUUUCUAUAGAAACAUACUCUGGUUGUUUUCCUUUUCAACUCUCCUGGCAAUUGUUGGUGAUAAAUGAAUGCUCAGAGGUUAUCUUUGACUUUUCUUUCUCAUUGAAUACUCCAUCAUGAUGUCAGCCAGUCUCUUUCAUGAAGGUAGGUAUGUAGUUGUUGGCCAGAGUUUAUCAGUUCUAUUUCUAUUCAUCUCAAACCCAGUUAAAUCUAUGUGUUCUUAAAAGGAACAAAUAAGGUAUGACUAGGAAUUAAGCAUGAGCCUAAAAGUAGCAGAGUAACAGCAAAGAAGUUGCCAGUACUGGGAUGACCACCAAAAUUGACUUGCCUACUCUGUAUUGCCCCUGUGCUCACAAAACAAAAGGAAAUCAUGUGUCCUUGCUUUGGAAAGCUGGCGUACAAAUCAAUAACUGCUUGUUUUUAUUAUAAGCUAAAACAUCAAUGCUUAUAUUUACUUAUUAUUUAAUUGCAUUUAGUUAUCAAUUAAUGAGUAUAACAUAAUAAAUAAAAAUUUGUGUCAAAAUAUGACUUCAAUGACAAGUAAAAAUUGUUUUUUACCAGCACAAGAUGACAAUGCAAUAUUUUUCCUUUCCUUGGUAUAUUAGUCAGGAUUCUCUAGAGGAACAAAACACACACACACACAUUAGAUAUGUUAGAAUGUCUUAUACUGUGUGGCCCACCUAUUCAAGCAAUGGCUGCCUAUCAAUGGAAUGUCUAAGAAUCCAGGAGUUAGUUGAUCAGUCCAUGAGUCUGAAUGUCUCACCUGGUCUGCAAUAUAUGCCAUAAUCUCAAAGUAGAUUUUAUUGCCAAUGAAAGAAUGGAGUUGAUCAGGACAGUGAGAGUUAACAGGCAUGGAGAGCAAUCUUUCUUUGCCCAUGCUCUUUAUAUAGGCUGUCAGAAGAAAGUGGCUCUUUCAACUUCAAAAGAUCUGGAUCCAGAUUAGAAGUGAGUCUCCCCACAACAACCAAGAGCAGCUGUUACAAGUUCAGCCCUUGUCAACUUGAUACACAAUCAUAUUUUCUUAUGUUAUGCCUAAUUUCCAAAUGAAAACAAUAACCAGAUCAUAAUUAUAUCUAAUAUGGUGUAACUUGCCCUUGUACAACAGCAAGCAUGAUUAUGGACCUCUGUUAUGUCCUCUGUUGAAACAUGGUGGCACAUCCUUACUCCAGUUGUAGCACUGUAAAAACAGAGACAGGCAGACACUGAGGUGUGCUGGCGUCAGCCUGCUCUAAUAAGUGAGCCUCAGCUUCCACAGAGAUUUUCUCAAAUAACAUGGUGGGGGGGGGGAAGUGGACAGCUUUUGAAGGACACCAGAGAUUGAUCUCUGGCCCUGACCUACACCUGACCUACAAACACACACACACAAACACACAUGCUCACGUACACACACAUGCACCCAUGCACAAGCAUGUACAUAUAUGUUCACAAAGUCUCACACAUGCUUAUAAAUGCUCACACACACAUACACACUCAUUCAUGUAUAUUCAGAUAGACAACCAUGCAUGCACACACACAUGCAUACAUACACAUACAUGUACACAGAUAACUUAUGCACACAGAUAACUUAUGCACACAGACAUACACACUUGUAGGCACAUGCACAAACCUAGUGAAUGAAUAUCUUUUACUACUAUGUAUCUUAACUUCAGUGUAUAAAAAAUUUUAAUUGCUCAGAUCCUAUUUGUUUUGUGUAAUUUUUGUGCAUGUGAUACAACACAGUAUUUAUAUCUUCACAGGAGUUAUAUAUUAUGAACAUCUUAUUUAACUCUAUUUACUGACAAUGUAUCAUACAAUGUUCUAGGCACUGGGAAAUAGCAAAUCUUUUUUAAAAAACUGAUUCAUGUUUAACAAUCAUUAAAUUCUGUAAAACUAUGAAUAUCUAAUGUUUUUAGACUGUAAAGAAGAACAACUAAAAUUAUACUCUCUGAAGUUGCAUAUAGGAUAUUUCAUUAUAACCCUAAGCAAUUGGUGUUAUUUUAAGUUUAUUUUGAUACUUUUCUAAAAAUGAAAAAUGACACCACUGUUUGUGGGUUAGUAGCUGGUGGGAAUUCUUUUUACAGCUGCCUGUGUCAUUUGUCUUAAUCAGGCAGCAAAUAAGCCUCCAUUUCUUCAGGACAUUAAGAUCACUGUGUGUCAUUUCUAUUCUGGCCCCUGGAAUUUCAAAAAAUAUAGCUUAAGCUCUAUGUUUUUCCAUCCAUGUGGAAAAAUAUGCAGAAUCGCUAAAUUCUAUGUUUCAAGUCAAGUACUUAAAACAAUACGUUAAAAAAAACAAGCUGGUAUAACUUCACAGAAAGCGAGGUUGUGUUAUCUGUGUUUUAGCAGAGAAAUGUAAAAUGUGUGAAAGUUCUGUAAUAUAGAAACAACUAGUGUACACCCUUACGCAUAGUGCUGACCUCUCAGAGGCUGUAGUGUUGCUAUGCCAAGUACAUAUAUGAAUAAUCAGUAUGUAUUGUAAGUGUAUACACACAUACAUAAGUAUGUAAGAAAAGGAAUGGUGUUUACUGAAAAAGUAGUUAUCUUUUUAAAGCUUAUGUGCAUGGCUUGCAAAAAUUAGUGAAAGAUCAAAGUCUACGCAGAAUGAUUUCAUAACAAGGUAGUAUGGAAUCAGAUUAUGUGAAAAGCUGAAUAUUUACACAAGGGGGUCAGAAAGCAGCUGGCUCUAUGUAAACUAAAGAAAUCCAACAAACAUUCUAAGACAGCUCUCAUUUUUUUAUUUUUUUAUUUUUUUUUUAUUUUCAAUACAGGGUUUCUCUGUAUAGCCCUGGCUGUCCUGGAACUCACUCUGUAGACCAGGCUGGCCUCGAACUUAGAAAUCCGACUAUCUCUGCCUCCUAAGUGCUUGGAUUAAAGGCAUGGACCACCACUGCCAGGUUUUUUUUUUUUUUUUUUUUUAGUUCUCAUUCUUGAUCUUCAAUGGACAUAGCAUCAAGCAUUAUUUUUAAGUGAUAUACUAUCAUUUUUACAAAUUUUACAAAUUACAGAUAUUACAAAUAUUUUCUAAAACACAAGAUCCUAAUUUGUGUGUGUGUGUGUUCCCUAAAAAAUAACAAUUUUUGUUAUCCUGCAUAAAAUUAAAAAUAUGUUUAUUUCAUCUUUGUGACUUAUUUUCUUGAAAAUUUUAUUUUAAAUUCAGUAUAAACAACUUCUCUCUAUUAUUUAGAGGAAACAGUUUUACAUUUAAUAAAACAACUUUGGGCUAUUUAUACAUGUUUUAUUUUAAGUCUGAGGGUCGGAGCAAUUUUUACUUUCUUAGCCAUUGAAAUCCAGACUCUUUGCUGAACAUACGACACACUUUGGUCCUGGGCUUUAGAGAAACCUAGCUGCAACUGACUUGGAAGUCUUUUCCAUGGCCACCUCUCAUAAUAUAGAAAAGAUGCUGUGCCUGCUGCCAAAAGAAAAUUCAUCAGAUCCUUCCCAGCUGUAAGAUUUUAAUCCGAAACAAUAUAUCCUCCCAAAAUACAGUAGUGACACUUACAUUUUUGGUAGGCAACAGAGGUAUAAUUUGAUUUUUUUUAAUUAGGUACUUUCUUCAUUCACAUCUCCAGUGCUAUCCCAAAAGUCCCCCACACCCUCCCCCGCCCCACUCCCCCACUCCCCGACCCACCCACUCCCACUUCCCGGCCCUGGCUUUCCCCUGCACUGAGCCAGGGGGCACUGGUUAGUUCAUAUUGUUGUUCCACCCAUAGGGUUGCAGAUCCCCUCAGCUCCUUGGGUACUACUCUCUCUAGCUCCUCCAUGGAGGCCCCUGUGAUCCAUGCAAUAGCUGACUGUGAGCAUCCACUUCUAUGUUUGCCAGUCCCAGCAUAGUCUCACAAGAGACAACUAUAUCAGGGUCCUUUCAGCAAAAUCCCAAUAGUGUAUGCAAUGGUGUCAGCGUUUGGAGGCUGAUUACGAGAUGGAUGCCCAGAUAUGGCAGUCUCUAAAGGGUCCACCCCUUCGUCUCAGCUCCAAACUUAUUCUCUGCAACUCCCUCCAUGGGCGUUCUGCUCCCAAUUCUAAGAAAGGGCAAAGCAUCCACACCCUGGUCUUCGUUCCUCAUGAGUUUCAUGUGCUUCGCAAAUGGUAUCCUAAUUCUUGGGUAUUCUAAGUUUCUGGGCUAAAAUCCACUUAUCAGUGCUUACAUAUCAUGUGAGUUCUUUUGUGAUUGGGUUACCUCACUCAGGAUGAUGCCCUCCAGGUUCAACCAUUUGACUAGGCCCAAGGUGACCCAGUGGUGGCGCUGACCAGAAGGAACUUGUCAGUAUAAUUUGAUUUAAAGUGCAUUUAAUAGGAAUCUGUGACUGGUACUGUAAAUCUAUUGAACUAUCCAUGGCUGGUGAGGUUACAGAACCUCAUGAAGAAUCUACUACUAUUCCAAAGCAGCAUAAUUUCUAACUCAAGUAUAAACAUAUUUUCUUAUGCCCAUAGAUAAGUAUAGCCUUCACACCUCAUCAAAGCAGCUUCUUUUUUGCAGUGUGUGUCAUAUGGAGACUCUACCAUGGAAACCCACAAGUGGUUACAAUACUGAGAACUACUGACUAAUUGUAGGUUGUCUUUCCCCAGAUAAUACAUCUACAGCACAACCCUUGCACCUGAGGUUCAUUAGGAAAGACAGUAGAAAAAUUUCUAAGAGCCAGAGGGCCAGACAUUUACUGCAAGAUAGCAUCUGUGAAAGGUGAACUGCUACCAUGAAAUCACCACUGUAGGGAAACAAGACCUGUAAAGUGGUUGACAUGACUCUGUAGAUGGGGCAACUCUCCUCCUAGAUAAGAAGCUAGAGGCAGUUAAUAGCAAGUAAAUACUGGUAGACGUGUCUUCUCUAAGGACAAGGCUCCUGAUAGGUCAUCUAAUUUCAAGUGGUCAGCUCUAAACAUACAUACAUAUGAACAAUACUAAUGAACCCAGGAGAGAGGGGAGGGGAGUGGGGGGGGGAAGGCAGAGGCAAGGGAGAGGGAGAAUGUAUGUGUGUGUGUGUAUGUGUCGUUGUCUGUAAUAAAAAUAAUUAAAGAUGAAAUCUUAAGUUUUACAAGAAGUUGAGGGAACACAGAGUUGGCUGGGGAAGAGAUGAAUGAAAUAAUGUAAAUACAGUACUGAGGUAAGAAAUUCAUAUAUAUAUAUAUUAUGAAUAGAUAGAUAGAUAGAUAUGACACUCUCAAAUAGAAAUUUCCCAAUUCAUAUGCUAAUGGACUGCCUAUACCAUUUUGUUCUUUUUCUCAAGACGAGAAGCAGCAGCAACAGCAGCCCACAAUGGUGUAAGACCCACAUAAGGUUGCCUUUAAUUUCUCAGAAGAAAUGCAAUUGCUUCUUUAUCACAUACAACUUUCCAGAGUCUUGCUCAUUCAUAUACAGUAAACUCCAGUGGUUUUUUUUCUUUUUUUCUUCAUUUUUUUUAAUUGUUGAAAAAUUCAUAGUUAUAGACUUCUUUAUGCCUACAAACAUCAGCAUGUCUAAAAAGUCAGGUGAGGUUUAAUUAUAGCUUGGAUGAUGUUCACAUAUUUUGUUAUCAGCUCUUCUACAAUUUUAGUGUGCAUUUAAGCAUACCCACAAAACUGUUAACAAAAGCACAGAUUCUAGUUAACAUUAUAAUAAAGUUAUAUACCGUUUCAUUUUAGGGAAUAUGCUGGCUAUUGAGCCCAGGUUUUUCACAUGCUAAGCACCUGUUUUACCAUGGAGCUACAUGAUCAGCCCAGCAUCUGAAUUUUCAGUGGGCAGUUUUGUUGUAGUACGUUUGAUUGUGUUACUAUGAGAUGAAUCUUCAGAGCACUUUCUUCUUGCAAAACUGAAGCUCUCUCUAUAUGAUACAACUGCUAUUUUCACGGUCCACUAGCCACCAUUCCAUUUCCUAAAACUUUGACCACUUUAGGUGGUUAAUGUUUUGAAACCUCACACUUUGUCAUUUUGUGAUUGGCUAUUUCAAUAGUUUGUCAAGGCUCAGACUUGCGGCAUGUGACAUGAAGUUCUUCAUUUUUAAAGCAAAAUAAUAUUAAUUGUGCAAACAUACUAGUUUGUUUAGUCCAUUCAUUUGUUGGUAGAUAUUUCAGAUGAUUCUACUUCUUGACUUUUGUACUACAUAGUGGUGCUGACUGCAGUGAUGUAAACUGUUUAGAACAUGUUUGCAAUUAUCAGAGGUACUGUUUUAUGUAACAGAAUUUUUAUGGAGAGAAAAAACACACACUUGUAACCACAGCUGGCUAUACUGCUUUGGCUCCUGGUGGGUCACACACGUGCACUUUCCCAGGAGCUAUCUGAAUUCAUGAAUGAAAGACACACACACACACACACACACACACACACACACACACACUGAUGUUUGUUUAGGAAUACAACCUGUUUAGUCUGUUCUGAAAUGCUAAAUGUAGUUAAAUCAUUAAACUUAGCCUUGAUGGGAGGAAUGGUGCUGAAGCUUUAUCGCUCUUUAGCUUUAGUAUUUAUCUUUUUUAUUAUGUGUUUGCAUAAUGUUAGUGUGUAUUUUCGUCUCUCCUCUUUUAAGGAUUUUAUUAGUUGGAUGUUGGUCUGCUUAGUUUAUUCCUUAUCCUAUCAUCUUUUUCCUUCUCUGUUUUAUUUUUUGGUGGGUUUCUUUCAUAUGAUUUUUCUGUCCUUUGUACUACAUUUUUAAUUUUGGCAGUCAUAACUAAAUUUUAGGUUCUCAUUAUUCUGUUUCUUUGGUUAUAUGGGAUUUUCUUUAAACCUUAUUUUCAAGAUGCUUUCAAGAGUGUUUUAAAUGUUUGUUUUUGUUUUCUCAAUUAGUUCAGCCUCCUCUAAGGUGAAUUUCUGUCUUCCAAGUUUUGAUGUUUCCUUUUUAAUUUUGUCAGUUUUCCUCCAAUGGUAAAGACUUCUGUCUUUUAUUAAGGAAGAAGGACUGAGGAGAUGACCGUAUAUUUCUGCUUUGUUGUUAACAGGACAGUGUUCCUACAGAGUUUCUCCUCUACCUACAGGAAUAUCGUCCUGAGAUGGGCAGACAAUGUUGACUAGUAAGUACUUUAGGAUGGAUGAGGCGAUCUUCUGUUUGGUUUGAAAACACUCCAGAGAUUUUAGGUUUCCACUUUUGCACCAACACAUUUAGAAGUUAGACUUUUCUGGACUUAUUUGGUUUCUGUAGAAAUAAUUCUCACAUGUCUUUGAUGGGACAGAAUGCUGCCUUUCUGAGACAUGUGUUCAAGUUGGAGACUGGCUUGAACUUUGUCAUAUUCAGCUUCAAAUAAACUGUUCCUAGCUUCAUAUUUUACACCUCCCCUAACUUUUGCCAACUGAUUUUGUACUCAGAGUUCUCUGGGAUUUGAAAGGCAGAUUAACUGCCUUCUAUACAGAUCUCUAUUGCUUGUUGAUUCCUCUUCAUAUAUAAAUAUAAAGUAUAAAAUAUAAAAUAUGAUACAUGAUAUAUGACAUAUAUGUUUUUUAUUUAUUUACAUUUCAAAUAUUAGCCCCCUUCCCAGUUUCUCCUCCCCAAACUCCCUAUCACAUAUCCCACUCACCCACCCACUUGGGCCUCACUACCCUAGAAUUCCCCUAUGCUGGGGGUUAAAGUCUCCACAGGGCCCAUUGAUACCAGAUAAAACCAUCUUCUGCUACCUACGCAGCUGGAGCCAUGGGUCCCUCCAUGUGUACCCUUUGUUUGGUGGUUUAGUCCCUGGGAGCUCUUGAGGGAUCUGGUUGGAUAUUGUUGUUCUUCCUAUGAAGUUGCAAACCUCUUCAGCUCUUUCAGUCUUUCCUCUAACUCCUCCAUUGGGGUCCCCAUGUUCAGUCAGAUGGUUGGCUAUGAACAUCCGAGUCUGUAUUGGUCAGACUCUGGCUGAGCCUCUCAGGGGACAGUCAUAUCAGGUUCUUGUCAGCAAGCAUUUCUUGGCAUCUGGUUUUGGUGUCUGCAAAUGCAAUGAAUCCCUAUGUGGGGCAGUCUCGGGAUGGUCAUUCCUUCUGUCUCUGCUCCACUCUUUGUCCCUGCAUUUUCUUUAGACAGGAACAAUUCUGUGUUAAUACUUUUGAGAUUGGUGGGUGGCACCAUUCCUCAACUGAGGCCGAUCCCUAACAUCUGGAUAUGGUCUUUCCAGGUUCUCCCUCCCCUCUGUUGGGUAUUUCAGAUACUGUCAUCCCUGUUGGGUCCUGGGAGCCUCUUGCUUUCCUGGCAUCUGGGACUUUCUAGUUGCUACCCCCAGUUCCCCACCCCCCACUAUUACACACCUUCAUUCAAUUUCUUGAUUCUUUAUACUUCUUCCUCCAUCUCCUCCCAAACCUGAUCCUGUCACCCUCCCCCCUGCCAGAUCCCAUGAUUAUUUUGUUUCCUUUUCUAAGUAGGAAUGAAGUGUUCACAUGUUGGUCUUCCUUCUUGAGCUUCAUAUGGUCUGAGUUGUAUUGUGUGUAUUCUGACCUUUUGGCCUAAUAUCUACUUAUCAGUGAGUACAUACCAUGUGUGUUCCUCUGUGACUGAGGUAUCUCACUCAGGAUCACAUUUUCUAGUUCCACCCAUUUGCCUGUGAAUUUCAUAAAGUCAUUAUUUUGAGUAAGUAGUAUUUGAGUUGAGUAGAACUCCAUUGUGUAAAUAUACCACAUUUUCUGUAUCCAUUCCUCUGUUGAGGGACAUCUGUGUUGUUUCCAUUUUCUGGCUAUUAUAAAUAAGGCUGCUAUGAACAUAGUGGAGCAUGUGUCUGAUUCUUCAUUCUUUUUGUGUCAAAUGAUAUUUUGUACACUUAUAUUCCAAGAAUUAAUUAGAAAUAUAAUCUUCAGGAAUGCAUAAGAGUUGUCUGAUCUGUUAGGCAUUUUCCUUUGUGCUCUUUUUUAUCAUCUUCUGUCUCCCACCUAUGUUUCUCUCUGAUACAGGGAACUGGCUCUGCCAAUAAUAUUUUGUUACCAACUGCAGGCCAGCGGUCAUCUAAGUUUAACCAUUAAUAAAUACCAGAGAGAUACUGGCAAGUGGGGAAAAUAGAGAAGGUAACCAUAUCUCCACCUGCUUCUGCCUUGGGCAACAUCUCUAAAAUACCAGCCCUUCUUUUAUUUCGACUAACUCAAUACCUUCUGAACAUACACACCCCCUAACUUGUGAUUCCAAUUCUUGCCUAAUAAUGUUUGAUUCUAGGAUGAGCAAACAAUAUCUUGUCCCUGGAUCCCUACAGCCAUAAUGGUGCUAAUAGCAUUAAAUGUUGUUUACUGAUAUGACUUUUCCAUCACAUCAUACUUUGGCAAGUGAUGACAUAUAUUGAAUUUUUUCUAUACAAGUAUUCACCUUGAUUCUUCUUACUGUAUUCUGAAAGACAUAGACAUAAGGAAUAUUCUAUGUAUCUAUACUUUUAGUUUAAUGGGUUCUUGGAAGAAAUGGAAGAUCAAUGUAUAUGGCCAGUCUGUCAACAUGAACUGAAAAAUGAAUGUUUUGUGGAAAACCUUUGUAUCAUAUUUUAUUUCCACUAACAGCAGAUGGUGUUCAUAUCUGACAUCUGCAUACCUCAGUGUGUGAUACUGGUAUCAUCAGUGUAUCUGAUUUUUACAUAGGAAUAUGAACUAAAAUAUAUGUAUGUUCUCUUGACUCAGAACAUUUCAUUUUUCUUCCUGACAGCUGGAAAUAAUCUAUGAGGACAGAAAGCCAAUAGCACAUGGAUAAGUUUGGGUUCAAAGUGUCUAGUCAGUUACUCAAGAUUUCAGAUUCCCAACACUAAGAGAGAUACAAAAAGCUGCUUUCCUGGUGGCUGCUCUAAAGUCUAAAGAGGAAAGAUUUUUUUCUGAGAAAAGUAAAGUUCUUCCCAGAAAAAGAAAGUUGUCACUGAGAUCCAAGUUUUCGAAGCAUUACUCAGAAAACAGUAUGUGUCACAAAAGGCUGAGUCACAAUCAUCUACCUCUGCUUUUAAGAUUAAUAAGCAAUCAGGAAAAGUUAUAUCUUACAUGGAUUUCCAUGUAGAGAAUGAGAAACAGAGUAAAAGUACAGGAUAGAAUGGAUUUCGAAAGGGACACGUUGCCUUUUCUCAACUGUGUGGAAGAACAAAGUCUUAGUUGCAUCCCUUACACAAAUCACAUCGACUUAUCAAUUUGAGGUCUUGGUUGGCCACGACUAGGCCAUCUUUUGAUACAUAUGCAGCUAGUUCUUCCACCUAUAGGGUUGAGGAGAGCACUUCUAAAUGUUCAUUUCAUUUUAUUCAUAUGACUAUGUUCCCCUUUGGUACACAUCAAAUACACAAUAUUCAUAUGGAUCUCCAAACAGGGCAUUGGAUCUCUAGAAAGUGGAAUGGUUGUUAGCCAGAAUGUGUACAUUUCAAUUGAGCUGGAAUCAUCUGGAAAAGCAGUCAUUGCUCUUAACAAGUGAAUCGUCAAGUUAAUCCCUCAUACCAGAGAACAUUCCUACCUUGCCACUAUUUUUAGUAUGAAGUAUUUUUUAUUUGUUGACACGUGUCUAUCAAUCUUUUUCAACUGCAACAGAGCCUAUUUUGUUAUGCUCAGAAACUGAAGAGGGGUAGCAUAUCUCUUCUUAUAUUUCCUUUGUAUGAAUUUAGGGUAGCACUUAGGAAGAUAAUAAGUGGCAAGAAAAGUGCUAAUCAUAUUUCAAGUACAAAACUGAACACAGCUACAAGCAUAUAUAUUUUAAUCACAUUUUAUAAAUGUCCUAUUUAUUAAAUAUUUAAAUUUAAAUUAAAACAAAUUAAAUGUAAAAAUAAUUUAAGGAGCUUGGACACAUUAAGAUCUCAGGUUUCCAGACACAGUUUGACUCCAAGGAGUUGUGACACACCCAGGAUCUCAGGAUCCCAGGAUUCCAGAAUUUAGGAUCACAUGAGCAACUGGACUAUGAGGAGUUCUGAAACAACAAAGAUUACAGGAGGGACAGGCCCCAGUCAGACACAGUGAGGGCAGGCAGAACUACAGAAAACCAGAUGUCAAGAGGCAAGCACAAGAACAGAAGCAACAGACACCAAGGUUACUUGGCAUCACCAGAACACAGUUUGCCCACUAUAGCAAGUCUGGAUAUACCAUCACAUCCCAAAAAGCAAGAUUCAUAUCUAAAAUCACUACUAAUAAUGAUGAUAGAGGUCUUUAAGAAGGGCAUAAAUAACUCUCUUAAAGAAAUACAAGAGAAUACAGGUAAUCAGGUGAAGGAAUUGAAUGAAACCAUUCAGGGUGGAAAAAGAAAAAACAGAAAUAGAAACAAUAAAUAAAUCACAAACCGAGACCUGGAGAUAGAACACCCAGGAAAUGAUCAGGAGUCAUAGAUGCAAGCAUCACCAACAGAACACAAGAGAUAGAAGAGAGGAUCUCAGGUGCAGAAGAUACCAUAGAAAAUAUUGACACAACAGUCAAAGAAAAAUGCAAAAUGAAAAAAGCUCCAAAAACUAAACAUCCAGGAAAUCCAGGAUGCAAUGAGAAGCCAAAAUCUAAGAAUAAUAGGUAUAGAAGAGAGCAAAGAUUCCCACCUUAAAGGCCUAGUAUCUUUAACAAAAUUAUAGAAGAAAAUUUCCAUAACCUAAAGAAAGAUGUGCCCAUGAACAUAAAAGAAGCUUAUAGAAUUCCAAAUAGACAGGAUCAGAAAAGAAAUUCCUCCCAUCAUAUAAUAAUGAAAACACCAUAUACACUAAACAAAAAACAAUGUUAAAAGCAGUAAGGGGAAAAGGUCAAGUAACAUAUAAAAUCAGACCUACCAGAAUUCCACCAGAGUUCUUACCAGAGACUAUGAAAACCAGUAUAUCCUGCACAGAUGCCAUACAGACCCUAAGAGAACACAAAUGCCAGCCCAGGCUACUAUACCCAGCAAAACUCUCAAUUAACGUAGAUAGAGAAACCAAGAUAUUCCACGUCAAAAUGAAAUUUACACAAUAUCUUUCCACAAAUCCAGCCAUACAAAGGAUAAUAGAUAGAAAACUCCAAGAUAAAGGAGGGAAACUACACCCUAGAAAAAGCAAGAAAGUAAACUUCUUUCAACAAGUCCAAAAGAAGAUAGCCACAUAAACAUAAUUCCACCUCUAACAACAGAAAUAACAGGAAGCAACAGUCAUUUUUCCUUAAUAUUUCUUAACAUCAAGUGGACUCAAUUCCCCAAUAAAAAGACCUAGACUAACAGACUGGAUACAUAAACAGGACCCAGCAUUUUGCUGCAUACAGGAACUACACCUCAGUGACAAAGACAGACACUACCUCAGAGUAAAAGGCUGGAAAAAAUAUUCCAAGCAAAUGUUUCCAAGAAACAAGUUGAAGUAGUCAUUAUAAUAUCAAAUAAAAUCGACUUUCAACCAAAAGAUAAGAAAAGACACUUCAUACUUACAAGAAGAUUGAAAUAAUCCCAUGCAUACUCUCAGAUCACCACAGACUAAGGCUGGUCUCCACUAACAACAAAAACAAUGGAAAGCCCACAUACACAUGGAAACUGAACAAUGCUCUACUCAAUGGUAACUUGGUAAAGGAAGAAAUAAAGUAAGAAAUUUAUGACUUUUUAGAAUUUAAUGAAAAUGAAGUCACAUCAUACCAAAACUUAUGGGACACAAUGAAAGCAGUGCUAAGAGGAAAACUCAUAGCUUUAAGUGCCUACAAAAAGAAACUGGAGAGAGCAUAUACUAGCAGCUUGACAGCUCAUCUGAAAGCUCUAGAACAAAAAGAAGCAAGCACACUCAAGAGGCAUAGACAGUUGGAAAUAAUCAAACACAUGGCUGAAAUCAACCAAGUAGGAAAAAAAAAGAACUAUACAAAGAAUCAACAAAAUCAGGAGCUGUUUCUUUAAGAAAAUAAACAAGAUAGAUAAACCCUAAACCAGACUAACCAGAAGGAACAGAGAAUAUAUCCAAAUUAAUAAAAUCAGAAAUGAAAAGGGAGACAUAACAACAGAAACUGAAGAAAUUAAAAAAAAAUCAUCAGAUCCUACUACAACAAAAUUGGAAAAUCUGGAUGAAAUGAACAAUUGUCUAGACAGAUACCAGGUACUAGGUACCAAGGUUAAAUCAGGAUCAGAUAAAUCAUCUAAACAGUCCCAUAGCCCCUAAAGAAAUAGAAGAAAUCAUUAAAAGUCUCCCAACCAAAAAAAGCCUAGGACCAGAUGGAAUUAGUGGAGAAUUCUAUCAGACCUUCAAAGAAGACUUAAUAUCAAUACUUUUCAAACUAUUCCACAGAAUAGAAACAGAAGGUAUACUACCGAAUUCAUUCUAUGAAGUUACAAUUACACUUAUACCUAAACCAAACAAAGACCAAAGAGAGAAAUCUUCAGACAUAUUUUCCUUAUAAACAUCGAUACAAAAAUACACAAUAAAAUUCUCUCAAACUGAAUCCAAGAACACAUCAAAAUGAUCAUUCACCAGGAUUAAGUAGGCUUCAUCCCAGGUAUGUAGGCAUGGUGUAGUAUACAGAAAUCUAUCAAUGUAAUCCACUACAUAAACAAACUCAAAGAAAAAAAAUCACAUGAUCCUUUCACUAGCAUUUGAGAAAAUUCAACAUCCCUUCAUGUGACAAGUCUUGAAAAGAUCAAAAAUUAAAGGCCCAUACAUAAACACAGUAAAAGCAAUAUAUAGCAAACCAGUUAGUAGACAACAUUAAACUAAAUAGAAACUUGAAGCAAUCCCACCAAAAUCAGGAACUAGAUAAGGCUUCCCACUCUCUCCUACCUGUUAAAUAUAGUAGUUGAAGUUCUAGCUAGAGAAAUUAGACAGCAAAAGGAUGCCAAAUACAAAUUGGAUAGAAAGAAGUGAAAAUUUCACUAUUUGCAGAUGACAUGAUAGUAUAAUUAAGUGACCCCAGAAAUUCCACCAGAGAAGUCCUACAGCUGAUAAACAACUUCAGCAAAGUGGAUGGGCGUAAAAUUAACUCAGACAAAUCAGUAGCCUUCUUCUAUUCAAAUGAUAAACAGGAUGAGAAAGAAAUCCUUUACAAUAGUCACAAAUAAUAUAAAAUANCUAGGUGUGACUCUAACAAAGAAACUGAAAGAUCUGUAUAACAAGUACUUUACAUCUUUGAAAAAAGAAAUUGAAAAUCUCAGAAGAUGGAAAGAUCUCCCAUGCUCAUGGAUUGGCAGGAUUAAUAUAGGAAAAUGGCCAUCUUGCCAAAGGCAAUCUAUAGAUUCAAUGCAAUCCCCAUCAAAAUUCUAAUUCAAUUCUUCACAAAGUAAGAAAGAGCAAUUUGCAAAUUCAUUUAGAUAACAGAAACCCAGGAUAGUGAAAACUAUUCUCAACAAUAAAAGAUCUUCUGGGGAAAUCACCAUCCUGGAAUUCAAGCUGUACUACAGAGCAAUUGUGAUAAGAUCAAAACAAAACAAAACAAAACAAAACAAAACACCUGCAUGGUAUUGGUACAGAGGCAUGCAAGAAGAUAAAUGGAACAGAAUUGAAGACCCAGAAAUGAACCCACACAUGUAUGAUCACUUGAUCUUUGACAAAGGAGCUAAAACCAUUCAGUGGAAAAAAGACAGCAUUUUCAUCAAAUGGUGCUGGCUCAACUGGAGGUCAGUGUGUAGAAGAAUGCAAAUUGACCUAAUAUUAUUUCCUUGUGCAAAGAUCAAGUCCAUGUAGAUCAAGGACCUCCACAUAAAACCAGAUACUGUGAAACUUAUAAAGGAGAAAGUGGGGAAGAGCCUCGAACACAUAAACACAGGGGAAAUUUUCUUGAACUGUUCACCAAUGGCUUAUGCCUAAGAUCAAGAAUUGACAAAUGGAACCUCAGAAAAUUGCAAAGCUUUUGUAAGGCAUAGGACAUUGUCAAUAGGACAAAAGAGCAACCAGUAGGUUGGGAAAAGAUCUUUACCAAUCUUACAUCUGAUAGAGGUUUAAUAUAAAAUAUAUAAAAAGAACUCAAAAAGUUAGACUCCAGAGAAUCAAAUAAGCCUGUUCAAAAUGGGGUACAGAGUUAAACAAAGAAUUCUCAACUGAGGAAUACUGAAUGGCUUGGAAGCACCUAAAGAAAUGUUCAACAUCCUUAAUCAUCAGGGAAAUGCAAAUCAAAACAACUCUGAGAUUCCACCUCACACCAGACAGAAUGGCUAAAAUCAAAAACUCAGGUGGCAGCAGAUGCUGGCAAGGAUGUGGUGAAAGAGGAUCACUCUUCCAUUGCUGAUGGGAUUGCAAGCUGGAACAAACAUUCUGGAAAUCCAUUUGGUGGUUCCUCAUAAAAUUGGACAUAGUACUACUGGAAGAUCCAGCAAUACCACUCCUGGACAUACACCCAAAAGAUUCAACAUGUAAUAAGGACACAUACUCCACUAUGUUCUUAGAAGCCUUAUUUAUUAUAGCCAGAAGCUGGAAAGAACCUAGGUGUCCUUCUACAGUGGAAUGGACACAGAAAAUAUGGUACAUUUACACAGUGGAUUACUACUCAGCUAUUAAAAACAAUGAAUUCAUGAAAUUUGCAAUCAAAUGGAUGGAACUUGAAAAUAUCAUCCUGAGUGAGGUAAUCCAAUCACAAAAUUACAACUUGGUAUACACUCACUGAUAAUUGGAUAUUAUCCCAAAGGCUCGCUCUACCCAAGAUACAAUUCACAGACCACAUGAGGCCCAAGAAGUAGGAAGGCCAAAGUGUGGAUGCUUAGGUCCUUCUUAGAAAGGGGAACAAAUACAGAGGUGGAUGCAUGCAGUCAGUCAUUAGACAGAGCACAGGGACCCCAAUGGAGGUUUUAGAGAAAUGACUGAAGGAGCUGAAGGGGUUUGCAACCCCAUAGAAAGAACAGUGUCAACCAACCAGACCCCUCAGAGCUCCCAGGACCUAAGCCACCAACCAAGGAGUACAUAUGGAGGGACCCAUGGCUCCAGCCACAUAUGAAGUAGAGGAUGGCAUUGUCAGACAUCAGUGGGAGGAGAGGCCCUUGGUCCUGUGAAGGCUGGAUGGAUGACCCAGUGUAGAGCAAUUUGAGGGUGGGGAGGCAGGAGUAGGUAGACGGGUGGGAGAACACCCUAUAGAAGCUGGGGAAGUGGGGAUGGGAUAGAAGUUUUCAGGGGGAAGGGGCAGGUAAAGGGGCUAACAUUUGAAAUGCAGAUAAAGAAAAUAUCCAAUAAAAAUUAAAUAAAAUAAUUUAAUUUAAAUUUAAAUAUUUUAUUAAUAGCCUUGUAUAUGGGGUAUAAAUAUAUCUUUUAAGAUUUUACUUGGUCCACACACAGAUACACAUAUAUGUAAAUUCACUUUAAAAGAAAGAAAUAUGAAAAGAUUAACAAUUUAGAGUGUAAUUAAUAAAGUCAAAUUAUAAAGAAAAGUAUUGUCUGCUACUUUUAUAAACAUGUUGAGGUCCACUAGCAGUGAUUAUACAUAAGGAAAUUGGGUGGUCAAGAACACAGGACCUGGGGUUUGGCAAACCCUUGAUGUUGUUAUUACACGAGCAUGAUUGACUUAAGAAGUUUUAGGGAACUGUCUCCUGGGAAGAGCUUAUUUUUGUAUAUGACUACUACCUCCUUGCAGUGCCAGCUGUCUUUUCCUGAGAUGGAUAACCAAGUGUCAUUUCCAAAGAAGAUGGCUUUCAAAAAGAGAUCAAGAGGCAGUUGAGGAAUUGAGAGUUAAGUGGGAGAUCUAGGAUUGAAACAUCAGGUACUAACUCCAUCCCACUUCUUACUUGGGAGACUGUCUCUAAUAUGCAGUAUGGGGAUUGGGGCGGGGGGAAGGACUGCAAAGAUUAUCCAUCACUCGAGUAGGCACUUGUACUAUUUUCAGUCUUUAGAGGAAAAUGUUUCCAGUUAGCUGUGAGAAACACUUGCUCCUUCUGUUUCAGAGGUCAUUAUGAGUGAGGUAGGUGUGGGAUCUAUUCCUUUUGGCAACAGCAUCAUGGAGGGAAAGGGAGAGCCAGGAUUAUCUCACAAAUAGAAAGGAACAGCAAGUUUUACACCCACUGCUUUUUAAAAUGAUAGCAGUGAAGUCUGACCUGAAUUGAGUAAGGCAGUUGAGAUGACUCUGCUGGCAUUCUGAAACGUAAUCUUAACCCUCUCACACGAGUAGUUCUCGAGACACCACACCACCAAGGAAAAGAGAACAUAGCACAAAGGAUGCUACAUCUGAGCAGAAAGCACAUAGAAGUAAUGGAGGCUCCCCUCAACUCCAUUUAUGUGCCUUGGUGAGUACUAUCAGCAUUCAAAAGAGGAAGAGAACCUUUCCUCAGGUUUCAGAUCUGGUCUUGGAUGGUAGAUUUCAUUUUCAAGUCAGGCUGAUAUUUUAAGUAUGGACUAAAACUGACUUUAGCACAAAAGUAUUCCUCAGGAAUAAAGAUUGAAUAAAACAUGUUUGUUCCUUAAUAUGCUGUUUUCCAGAAUUUUAAUAAUGCAUACAAAGCUUUAGAAACUUGGUAUAAUGGGUUCAUGAUGUCCUUAGGAUGGUAGGAUACUUGCCCAGCAUAUUUUUUGCCCUCCCUUCAACUCCCAGCAUCUCAGAAAAUGGACAUGAUAAUGCACAGGUGUAAUUCUAGCACUAAGGAGGUAGAUGCAGGAGAAACACAUCUGCAGCUUAAGUGAAUUCUAGGCUAGCCUGGACAACAUAAGAACACCCUUCCCCCAAGACACAGACACACACAUACACAGGCACCACAUAAGCCUGGUGAGAUGACUCACUGUAACCUGGUGAUCUGAGUUAGAUCCCUAGAACAUAGUAGAAGAAUAGACUACCACAAGGUUGUUCUCCAACUUUCACAUGUUUGUGAUGGUACAUACACACACCCCAAAUAAAUAGAAGAUAAUAAAAAUAAAUAUAAAUCAAUACAACACUUUGCUUAGCAUUUAAAUUUUUUACUGGUGACUUUAUAGUGGCUCUUCUUAAAUGGCAAUUCUUAGUUGUUUUUGAAUGUGAGGAUGUGUUGUCAGAAAUGGUACUUUAGAACUUGUAGAUUGAAAAAGAUCUAAGAGUCAGGCACUGCUGUUAAUUCAGCCAAGUGAGAAACUGUGUGUACUCUCCCCAUCACCUCGUCUAUAGGCAUGUUAAAAAUAGUGAUGUAUGUGCAUGACAUAUUAUUUAUUUAGUCUCCCUAGACUGAAUGUGAAUGUGGAUUUACAGACCCCUCACAAUAAAUUCUGCUACCCUCAGGGGUCCAAGACCUACUGCUUGAAAUCCACAGAGCAGGACAGGCUUAUGAUUGAUGACAAUGAGGAGGGCCUGGGGCACAUCUGCUAGUCUUCCGUGGCUUUCAUCCUCCCAGCCCUCACACAGCCUCCUUGAAAUGCCACACUCUGCUGUGUUUACUGGAAAUGUUUUCUGUAUAAACUUCAAAAAGUUAGUUAUGACUCUCUACAGCAGAAACAUUUUUUCAUAAAAAAAUGAAGUGUACCUUGGAUGAAGAUUUAUUCAUCAAAGAAAAAUGAUUUUCGAUUUAGGAUCUACUAGGUCUUUAAAUGUGCAUAAUAGUACUUUAAGUGGGAGGUGAAUAUACACUUGUUUAAUGCAUGAUUUUCUAUACUUUUCUGAUAAAGUAUUUAUCAGUACAUUAAGGCAAAAGAUUCUCACAUAUAGUACCUAAAGACACAUAACCUUGUGUUCUCAUCACUAUGUAUACAUUGUAGUUGCAAUACAACAACAAAGCCUACCAAUGAAGACAGUAACGCUACACAAUGCAUAGUCAAGUAUCACUGUGAGUUCACUUUCUAGAGCCUUCUGGAAUUUCUUUCUCUUCUGUGAUUUUGUCAAAGCUUAUGAUUCAAGAUGUAAGUGUAUAUAUCUAUCCAAUUUUGUUUCCUACCUCACCCAUUUUUAUUUUCUUCUUUUUGGUUAAUCCUAGGUAGAGUCCCCCCUCCCCCAGAAAUGCCUUGUUGUGGAUUGUCCUAAUAUUGUUUGUAUUUUGAUGUUUGUUUUGUUUCCUCAAGCAGGAUUGCCCCUGACAAGCAACAUCACAUACUCAGAUCAUCUCAUGUGAACCUUCUUCCCAUUGAACUGGUCAAUAAGGCUAGAGCCUGUGAUUGGACAGUGGAAAGGAAAUGCUUGAGAGUGUAUACAGGCAGAGGAGAGAAGAGGACAAGAGGGGAAGGAUGGAGGACAAGACAGAAGAAGAGGAGGAGGAAGCCAUGAUGGACUAGAAACACAUGGGCAGGAGAAACUGCAAGUAAGAAGAGGACUUAUAGCUGGGAAAUAUGUUAGUAUAGUGUUAGAUCUGACCAAUCUAGGCAUACAGCUUACAAUUAUAAUAACUGGAUUGUGUGUUUUUAUAUGGGUUUAUUAGGGUUGGAAAUUCCAACAACAGUGUCGUAGAUAGUUUUUUAAUCUUUCAAAUAUAAAUCUACACUCAUGUCUUUCCACUUUUUUUUUUUUUUUUGCACCAACAAUACCCUUCUUCCUUUCUUUUUAUCAUGGAACAACUUUUCUGUGAGUUUGUCCUCCUUUGUUUUCUGUGCACACUUUUUUCACAACCAGUUUCAAUCAACACUGUUCUGAUUUCCAGCCCUACUAUAUAGGUGUCUUCUACUUUUUGGGUUCUUUUUCCUCCCACCCUCCUCUAACCUCUUUCUACCCUUUAAUCCCACUAAACACUAGAUAAAAGAGAAAAAAGCUAGAAAAGAAAGGAAAUAUUCCUGAAUAAAGUCAGGAGUCAGAAAGGGAGCAACAUUAUCAUUAGACUAUUUUUUUUUUUGCGAAUUAGGGGCAUUGAGUUCCUUGAGACAAGUUUGAUCUUCACAAUUAGGAUAUCUAAUUUCUUCUUCUUCUUCUUCUUCUUCUUCUUCUUCUUCUUCUUCUUCUUCUUCUUCUUCUUCUUCUUCUUCUCCUUCUCCUUCUCCUUCUCCUUCUCCUCCUCCUCCUCCUCCUCCUCCUCCUCCCACUCCUCCUCCCCUCCUCUUUCUUCCUCUUCUUGUUUCUUCUUUGUAACAACUACUUAACAAAUUAAGACCAGAAGCAACCAAGCAUUUAUAUACCCUCUCAAAACUUCCCAUAAUUCCAAAUAUCACACAAUUGCAGAAACUAUCUGGAGCUGGCAAAAUCACACCCUCACUAGAGCAAGAGACAAAUCACAGCUGCAGUGGACAAUGUGAAACAGGCCUAUAUUUCAUACCUGAUAUUUUUUAAAAAUCAAUUUCUAAUAACAUUUCUAUGUAUUUAUUUAAAUAAACCAAAAAUUCCAAAAUUCUCAUUAUACCAAUAUUUCACUGAAAAGUUCUUAUCACAAAGACAAGUUAUGUAGUAUCUAGAUCUGAGGUUAGCCUAUUACUUCUCCUUCACUGACUCUUACAAUAGUGUGUAUAUAUCGAUCUUCCUUAAAUAUUUCCUGUGGUCUGAUUCCUUUGUUCCUUUUUUUCAGGAAGAUUUGCUCAUAUGCAGGAUAGAACACAGGAAAAGAAAGGCUGAUUUCUUGAGCUAGAAGUCUGAGAAACUAGAAACCUAAACAUGAGGCUGCAGAAAAGUAAGCAUCAUGGUUGAUGAAACGCAGUUUGCUAGAGGACUUAAGAGCAAUACCUUCUUAAGAUCAGAAGUGUCUAGGGAAACUUCCCGGGAAAGGUGACACUUAAUUAGAGACACUUGUCAGAUGAAUGUGAAUCAUCCAGAGAGCAGGGAAAUGUAAUGAAAAGGACCAUGAAGGCAGAAGAGCUCAUGUAAAGGGAUUCAGUGUCAGAAGGGAAGAAGGGAGGGGAAGAGACAGAGAGAAAAAGACAGAGAGCUAGAGACAGGGACAGAAAAAGACAGAGACAGAGAGAUAAGGCACAUGCACACAGAGAUACAUACAUAUAUACAUACAUACACAGACACAUAUAGAUACAAACAUACAGACAGACACAGAGACACACAGACACGCAUACAGACAAACACAUACAUAGACAGACACAUACAGUCACACAGACAGACACAGAGAUACAGAGACAGACACUGACAGACACAGAUAGACACACAGACUCCUAGAAACAGACUGAGACAGACAGACAGACAGACAGAUAGACACAGAUAGACAGACACACAGAGACAGACAGAAGCAUACACAGUAAGAAAGACAGACACAUAUACAGACAGACACACAAACACAUGGACACAUAGACACACAAAGAGAAACAGACAGGUAAACAGAUACAGACACAGAGAGAGACAGAAUAGUCAGAGACAGACAGACACACAGACAGACAGACACACAGAGGAAAUGAACCAAGAGAGACGGAGGGAGGGAGGGANNNNNNNNNNNNNNNNNNNNNNGAGAAGUUUGGGUGGAGUGUGAUGAAGAGAAUGGAAAAUAUAUCACCCCAAGGAGGUCACAUCACAUCAUGGCAGGCUUUGUGGGAUAAUUCGAGAUUAAAAUGUUUAAUGGUGCAGAAAUAUCAUAAAGAACAUAGAUGCUAAAUUUUCUGAGGUUGGAGAAAGGGUGGGAAAUGUGGCAAAGGUAGUUGAAGAGCUUCAGGAGGCCAUGACAUCAAUUCUGUGUAGUGUAAUUGUUAUACAGGCACCAAGCAUGAGGGAAUGGUGUUUCCUUUAUGCAUCAGUCAGUUCUCUCUUUCCAACUACACUGUUAUGGAUGUUGGUGAUGUGGAAAUCAGUGUUAAAGGAGGGAGGGAGGGAUAGGAAGAAGAAAAGAAUGAAGGAGAGGAGAAGAGGAGUGGAGGGAGAGAGAGUUGAAUUAAUGCCACAUUGGAAUGCUUUGCAGAUUGACUGGAAGCCAGAGGUAGGUAUAACAUCUGGUCUUAGAAGUUCAUAAAACUAGGGCAACCACCAACAUGGUGGUGCCAUUCAGGCCACUGGAAAGUACUCAAGUAGGAAUGUGGUGUCCCUAAAAGUGGAAAGGAUUGUGGUUUCAGUUUUACUUUACUGUUGUUUUCCAAAAGAAAACAUACUAUAAAGGCAGGAGGCACAUAGAAAGGUAUUGGUUGUUUAUAAACAGCUAGCAAAAGAAAGAAAUAAUAAGGAUUUUUUUGUACUAGGAACUUUAUCAGAGAUUAUGUCUGAAUGGCCCACAAUAUAAAACAUGGGGACUUGGAACACUGUGGUGCUGGAGAAACCUCUUUUUCUCAAGAGAUAGAAACCACAGAUCUGGAUUCAUGGCUCCUUAUAUUUGAUAUCAAGGAUUCUGAGACAAAAAUCACAUCCUUACAUCCUUAUGGCUACAUGUAUUUCUUCAAUGAUGGAGAACUUGCCUACAUACAUUUGGUGCUAGAGUUGAAUCUUGGCUCUACAAAAGAAUAAACAAAUGUAAAGCACAGAUAUAUUAAAUGAGCAAACUUUAAAAAAGAAUCACACAUAUAGUAUCUGAAGCCACAUGCCUUUGUGUUAUCACCAUGUUUAAGAGUGAUAUCAGUCUUCAGAGGGACUAAGGAGAGCAUGGUGAAGUAAAAGAAUCCUUAGAAGAGUUUUAUGCAAAAUUUAAGGGCCUUUACUUUCUCAGGAUCCUGCCAAGGGCUGUGCACAUAACCAGCUCUGAGCUCUGUAAGUCAGAAAAAAAUUUUAUAGUAGUAAAUACUGACAUGUGAAAUAUACAAAAAGAAAACAACAGCUUUUCAAUUUUCAUUGGUUUCCUCCUCCUUUUGUAUUUUAUGACCCACAUAAAGUUUGCAGCACAAGUCACAUUUUUGCAAGAUCAUUGCUUUGAGAACUAUAUGAAGCAAUAGGUUACAAAAGGCUCUCUUUCUUUUUUUUUUAAAGCCAGAACUGCAUUUAAGCCACUUUCAAGAAUUCCCGUAUAUUGCUACAUAUUUGACCACUUUCAGUGACAUUUUGGAUAUUGCACAGGGAGAAGUUUCACAGUUCUUCUAGAGAGAUAAAUUCAAGAAAAAAAUGAACCAAUUUUAUGUGUUAUGAAUAUAAGCUUUCAGUUCACAUUCUCACUCCCCAUCAUUUAUCAAGUCCUAAAUCUCUGCCCAUGCCAACAUAUUAUCAAUAUAUUAUACAGAAAUACAACCUACCUUAUGAAAAGGCUAUUUCCACACCAUUAAGAACAUGAAUUUUAUUUUGCCAACUUAGAACUAUUUUUAGGAAAUUUCAUUUAGUUGUAUCUUAUAGUUUGACAUUUGUUUCCUGAAAAUCUGUAAAUUCUUGCCAGUUUAUGAAAUACUAUAGCAUCUACAAGGGUCAGAGGUUAUCUAUGGUGAAAUUUCUGUAAACACAGAAUGGUCAACUUCCCAACAGUGUCUUCUAAGACAGUGGCCAACUCCCUUCUCUGUGUUAGUCAUGGUUAGUCACACAGGGAGGGACUUAACUCUGCUUACAAAAAAAGUGAUUGUUCCACUAUCCUCAGGGAUGGGGUUAGUCACUAGCACCAGGGUGCUGCCUGGGGCAUUCCACUUCAUCCGUGCUGCCCCCAGGGCAGUAUUGUACUCAGACAAAAGUGUCAGCAGAGAUCCUUGAUACAGGCACAAGGGCAAUUAUUGCUCAGGUCAACUCACCCAGUCCUCGGAACCACCUGGAAUUAUUGGCUGUAUUUUAGAGAUUACAAAGCUGAAGUUUGGAAGGAAAAGACAUUUUCCUAGGGUCAACCAGAAUUGGGUUUUGAACUGAGUUUGGCUCCAGAGUCUGCUUUCAUAAUUAUCACACCAAUGCCUUCCAGAUUUUGUUCCCAAAGGAGGAAGAACUAGGGCAUCCUACCCCAGUCACAGCAUCUCCUUGGCUGUUGUUUUGUAUAUUGAAGUUCCAUGAGAAACUUACACACAGGGGGCAACAGCCACACUAUUAAAACUACGGGAAACUUUUGAAUCAAGACACCCCUCUGCACCUCUGAGGUACAGCAUGUGGAUGCUGUGUUGCUUACUUUAGGCCCUCCAAAUAAAUUGUCAACUCAAAUAAUCCUGCUGGAUUAUAUCAGUAAACUGUGGGUUAGGUCAAUUUAGGCCUGCCAAAGUGAUCAAGUGAGAAGGCAGUAUAGCUUAACUAACCUUUUGGUGUUCCACAUGCUCACCUCUACAGUAUAAAUAUGAUGAAGGCCAUGGAUGUCCAGUGAACUUAGCAGUAUAGAGGUUAUUGGAGAAUAGCUAAAAACUUAAAAACAUCCUUGUCCCAACUGGGCUUUGUUCAUAGUGUGGGCAUUUGGGGCAUGAACUUCUGUUUGGGUGCAACAACUCAAGAGCACACAGUCUAAGAUGACAGAGAAGGGAGCCAAGAGAGGGACAGAAACCUAAGACCCCAACCAGGUGGCUUAGUUGAAAUGAUAAACAAUGACCAGGACAGGAUCACAGAGGAAUGAAACUACCAUUCACAUAGGCUGAAGGAGGAAGUGUUUAUCUUGAAACUUUCAAUGUAAAGAUUUCAACCAUAGCCUUGCACUGCUGGGGCCUAUACAUAAGAUGUGCUCACACUCAGUCUUUCAAGUUUCAUUUGUAGAGAAUAAAUGGUUUAUUCUAGAAAAAUGUCACUGAAGCAAAUCAAUAAAUCAUAUCAUACACUUUUUAUAUAUUAAUGCUUUUGUAUAGUUGUAAUGACACAUUGAAAUAAUUAAAAUAUUCACGGAUCAUCUAUUGUACAUUGCACUAGACAGAGGUUAUAGGGAGAGUGGACCACACUAAAUUCCUGUUCUGACCACGUUUAUAGUGUAGUGGGAAAGGAUGGUUAAAAAUAAAUAAACACCCAAUUUAGAAUGGCAGUUUUGGAUACUUGGAAUGAAAAACAUUACUAAUCAGGGCACUGAGACUAGCUUUGUUAUAGGCAGCGAAGAGGGACAUUCUACACAGAGUGGCUAGGGAAUUCCUCAGAUGGCAUAAACUGUGAAAUUGUACAGAAACAAUGCAAAACAGAAAAAUUAGAAAACUAGGUAGUAAUUUAAGGGAAGGAACAUUCCUGCAUUCCUUCUAAGAGGUACAGCACACAUAAAGGCAUCAAGGCACCUUCAUUGCUUGAGUGUGCUUGGAGCAAAGAGUGGUUCCAGAGGAACAGACACAUAAACAACAAGGAGGUGAAGUCAAUGUGGUGGGCAAGCUGGUUAUUCCCAGAUCUUUGUAAACCACAACAAGGACUGUGACUUGAAUUUGAAUGCUAGAGGCAUCAUGAGGAGAGAAAGGUUGCAAUAUGACAUUUGUGUCUGUGUGUGGAGUUUCAAAACCGAUGGGGAUGGUCCUGCCAUUAUUCAAGUGAGGGGGAUGCUGACUUCACAUCGCUGUGAAGUUAGUAAAACAUGAAGAUUCUGGGUGUAUUCUGCUGGAAAGUACGUGUAGAUUGUAGGGGGGGGGGGAAACCAACAAAUCAAAGAGGACUAAGGAAAUGGAAUUGUUGUGUAUAGAGUGGGAAAGACUGAUUCAUAAAGAGGUUUGAAAGGUUUUUCUCCCCUUGAGACAAAAUGUUAGCCCUGACUAUCUUCAAACUUGCUACAGUUCUGCUAACUCUGCCUUCUAAAUGCCACAGUUAUGGAGUUGUGCCUUCACAUCCUUAUUAUAGUGUUUUCUUCUUAUGAGGGUGCAAAAGUAAUUGCAGGAACUCUAUUCUUGUGACUUUAUGUAUCUAUACCAAUUACCUCACUGAAGACCUUACUGCCACAGUGUGGGGAGAGGCUUUACCACAUAAAUAUUAUAUGGAGCAAAAUUUAGUCCCCAAUAAGAGACAAUGUACAAAAGAAGACUUUCAAACUGGACUCACAGCCUUUCACAGCCUUUCACAGGCAUUAGCAAACUUAGAAAGAAAUAAAAAGAUCUAAAGUGGGGCAUUAUAAAGAUUAGUAAACAUGGCCUGUUUUAAUUACUAACGUUGUAGGAUGAUUAUGAUGAGACUUUGGAAUGGCCACUGAUUUUAGCAAUGUGAAUAACUUGGUGAUACGAAGAACUUGUUUGUGCUAUAGUACAAAUGAUUGCCCCAUGGCCGUGAAUUUCACCAGAACAUGGGAAGUAAGAUAAUUAUUCAUUAAUGGUGGAGAAUAAUCACUUCUGUAAAGAAGUAAUCCCAGUAAGAGUUUGUGGAGCAAAGAAAAGAACCAUGGAAAACAGUGUACUUCCAUCCAGGUACUUUUUGCGGAUAUACUUGAGAUGAUGAAUAGAAGGAUAGAAGGAAUGAUUGGAGGAAGACAAGCAGAGAUGGAACACAGGUCUGCUGGCCUUCUAGCCAUGUGGUUCCCUCACUAUAGAAGUGGAGAACUACUGAAUAGUUGUGAGACCUAAAACAGAACAUCAGCAAUUGUUGACACUUAAGUCCCCAGAAAGUAUAUCUCAAAGACCUCUUCUCUGGUUGAAAUUAAAAAAAAAAAUGAUUCAGUCUGUUUUAUCUUCUCAGAUUUUUGGUUUUGCCUUGCACUAGAUACUGCAGUUCAGAAUUGUGAUUGGUGGUGUGUCUAGAGGGCAGAGACCUUUGCUCUUGAUGGGUAUACUUCUCUAGUCUGCUUAUCAUGGCACAGAGCUGAGUGGUAUCUCAGCUAGACACUGAGAGUUUUGCUCAAUGCUUUACACAGGAACUAAUCACAUAAAGGGUUAGUAUCUUAGCCUUAUGAAGACAUCAUGUCUUCUCAUGACACAGAAUGGAAAGUCAUGCUAGUGUUCCUGGAUCUGUGGAGGGUACACAACAUGCAGUAGAGUCAUAAAACAUGUUAAUUAUCUUACAUUUUCUUCUUGUAAGUUUCCUUUAUUUUCACAGAAAGUAGGGUCUGAUGACCUAAACUAAGCAUGCCAACAUUGAAUUUCCAGAUUCUGGGAUACUCACAUUAUUUUGCUACUUAAAACCACAUUGAGCUUCCAACAGUUAUUCAGAAGAGCCCCUGUGCAGGCAAGUAUCCCAUCAGUUUAUGGCAGGCUCUGAAAAAAUUUACUUGAAUGGGAGUUCUGUUGCCUUUUGAGGAGAGUGGUUGUCUGAAACAAAUUUACUGUACAGUAAGUUGUAUUUCCCCAGAUAACUAAGUUCCCAUCUAAUGGCCUUAGAGUGCAGUUCCCAGGAGUCAUAAUGCUUUUUGCACACAAGCUUGCAAGUGCUCAGUGCAGACUUGGGCAAAUAAACCCCUCUGUGCGCAAACGGUUCUAGAAAUCUCUUGCAGACAAUCCAAACAACAUAGCCUUCCCACUCUUUACGUUUCCCUUAGCUUAUACUUCUGAGUUUUUGUUAACAUUUUAAAAAGAUAUUUAAAGCUGCAUUUUGUUCACCUCGUAAAAUGAAAGAGUACAUUGUACAGGCACUGGAGGUACACGUCAGUGCUUUUAUCAAGUCAGGGGCCUGCUCUGCAGCAUUAAUUGGAAACAUGUGUUGAAAAUUCAGGGCAGGUUUCUCAGUGUCUCUUUAAUUUAGUAGAAUAAAAUAAAAACUCAACUCACAUUUCUUUAUGAGGCCAGUCUGUUGGAGUUGUUCUAUUAGCAGGUCUGAUGGAUGACUCUGAUGGACAAUGCUGGUACCUGUGUCUAGACUGUUGGGAUGCUGGUACCUGUGUCUAGGCUGCUGGUAGUUGUUCUAUUUAAGACCUUAUUCAUGGUUCUACUACACUUUCAGGCUCCAUUAUAGAGGACUUGUUGUAAUUGAUUCUCUGAAAGUUAGCUGAGGGAUGCUGAUAGAAAGCAUAAUUGAUUUCAAAGACAUCGGAUGAUCGACACAUGAAAGAUUUUCAAAUAACCAUAUGUCAGAAGCUAAAUCUGCAAACUCUCACCAGUAUGACUGCCUAAACAUGACCUGAAGAAAGAGAAGAACGGAAGACAUGACAAAAUGGACAGGGGAAGGACAGUGAAGCCUCACCCUACACUAAGACCUACAGGAAACAAAUGAGUAUGGAAAGUGAGAGAAUUAGUCUUCCCCAGGGAAGAGCGCAUCAAUUGGUUGUAUGUUGUGUGUAGCUUUUGCUACCCCACCUAUGCUCCAGGAACGGACCUAGCUACCAGACCCCUCCCAGCUUCACAUGAAUCCAUGCAUAAAACACACACACACACACACACACACAGAGUUCAUUUUCUUUCUUUUGUUCUUUCUCCCUUUCUUUCUUUUCUUUCUUUCUUUCUUUCUUUCUUUCUUUCUUUCUUUCUUUCUUUCUUUCUUUCUUUCCUUCUUUCUUUCUUUCUUUAUAUUGUCAUCAGGAUGUUUACUGGAUAUUUUUUUUAUUUACAUUUCAAAUGUUACCCCCUUUCCAGGUUUUCCCUCUGGGAACCCCCUCUUCCAUGUUCCCUUCCCCUGCUUCUAUGAGGGUAUUCCCCUACGCACUCCCACCUCCCUGCCCUCUAAUUCCCCUACACUGGGGCUUCACAGGACCAAGGGCCUCUCCUUCCAUUAAUGCCCAAUAAAGCCAUCUUGAGUUGCAGUAUUUUCCCUAUCCAAUUACAUUAGGGCAACAGGAGACUUGUGAUUGGACAGGGAAAAGGGAGGCGGAGCUAAGAGUUGCAGAGAGAGAAUCUCAGAGAGAGAAAGGAGAAGUGAACACAGGUUCACGUCCUUCUCCAUCCUCACCUUCUUUCUCUCUCUGAGACACUCUCUGUCUCUGUAACUCUUAGCUCUGCCUCCCUUUUCCCUGUCCAAUCACAAGCCUCCUGCUGCCCUAAUGUGACUGGACAGGGAAAAUCCUGCAACAAUCCUCUACUACAUAUGUGGCUGGAGCCCUGGGUUCCUCCAUUUGUAGUUAAGAAAUAGUAUUCAUUUGAAUAUUACUACAUUGCUCAUUUUUAAAAUUUUUUCAUUUAUUUAUUUUCUUACAUCUUAAAUGCUGCCCUCACCUGGUCCCUCCUCACAGCGAUACUAACCCCAUUGCUCCUCCCCUCCCCUCUGAGACAUUGGGUCACCACUGGGUAUCCUCCCAUCCUCUCACUGUAAGUCUUUGCAGGAUUAGGCACAUCCUUUCCCACUGAGGACAGACAGGACAGCUCUGUAGGGGAAGGGAUGCCACAGUCAAGAUGCUACAGCUUUAGGGACAGCCUCUGCUCUAGCUGUUGGGAGGCCCACAUGGAGACUGAGCUGCAUGUCUGCUACAUAUGUUUUUUGGUUGGUGGCUCAGACUCUGAGGAGCUCCUAGUGGUCCAAGAUCAUUGACUCUGUUGGUAGUCCUGUGUGGUUCCCAUCCCCUUCAGGGCCUUCAGUCCUUCUCCCAGCACUUCCUUAAGAGUCCCGGACUUCCAACCAAUAUUUGACUGGGAGUAACUGCAUCUGUUUUUGUCAACAGCUGGUGAGAGCAUCUCAGAGGACAGUUAUGCUAGGCUCCUGUCUGCAAGCAUAAAAAAAAAUCAAUUAUAAUAUCAGGAGUUGGUGCUUGCCCAUGGGAUGGGUUUCAAGUUCAGCUACUUAUUGAUUGGCCAUUCCCUCAGUCUCUGCUCCAUCUUUGUCUUGCAUUUAAUUUAGACAGGACAAAUUUUGGGUUGAAAGUUUUGAGGGUGGGUUGUUGUAUCCAUUCCUCCAUUGGGGGUCCUGCCUGGCUGCAGGAGGUGCCCUCUUCAGGUUCUAUGUUCCCACUGUUUCUUCUCCCUGGUUUUAGUGAGAUUGCUUCAUGUUUCUCUCCAUUUAAUUUGAUGUUGGCUGUUGGUUUGCUGUAUAUUGCUUUUUAUAUGUUUAGGUAAGUGCCCUGAAUCACUGAUCUCCCCCAAGACUUCUAACAUAAAGGGGUGUAGGAUUGUGGAAGGGUUUUUUUCUGCAUUCCAUAGGAUUAUGAUAUGAUUUUUUUUCUUUCAAUUGGUUUAUAUAGUGGGUUACAUUAGUGGAUUUGCUUAUGUGGAACCAUCCUUGCAUUCUUGGGAUGAGGCCUACUUCAUUGUGAUGAAUAAUGAUUUUGAUGUGUUCCUGGAUUCUGUCUGUGAUAAUUUUCUGGGUAUUUUUGUGUCAAUGUUUAUAAGUGAAAGCAGUCUGAACUUCUCUUUCUGUGUUGAAUCUUUGUGUAGUUUAGGGAUCAGGAUAAUUGUGGCCUCCUCAAAUGAAUUAGAUAGUGUUCCUUCUGUUUUUAUUUUUGUGGAAUACUCUGAGGAGUAUUGGUAUUAGCUCUUCUUUGAAAGUCUGGUAGAAUUUUGCACUAAAAUCACCUUGCCCAGGGCUUUUUUGGUUGGGAUAUUUUUAAUGACUGCCUCUGUUUCCUUAGGGGCUAUAGGACUGUUUGGACAGUUUUCCUGAUCUUGAUUUAACUUUGGUAAGUGGUAUCUGUCUAGAAAAUCAUCCAUUUUGUUUAAAUUUUCCAUUUUUGUGGCAUACAGGCUUUUGAAGUAUGACCUAAUGAAUUUUUAAAAUAUCCUCUCUUUCUGUUUUUAUGUAUUCCUUUUCAUUUUGAUUUUGUUAAUUUGGAUACUGUCUUUCUGUUUUUCUUAAAAACCAGCUGUAGUGCUUACAUUUUCAUUGAAUUCUAGAAAGUAUUUAAUUUCUUUCUUUAUUUCUUCCCUGACAAAGUUAUCACUGAGUAGAGAGUUGUUCAGUUUCAGUGAGUAUGUGGGUUUUCUGUUGUUAGGUUGUUGUUGAGAUCCAGCCUUAAUUCCUGGUGAUCUGAUAAAAUGCAUGCAAUUAUUUCAAACUUUUUCUUACAGUUGAGGCUUGCUUUGUGCCCUAUUAUAUGUCAAAUUUUGGAGAAAAUUCCUGUGGUGCUAAGAAGAAAGUAUAGUUUUUUUGGGGGGGGUAGGUCUAUAAAUAUUUGUUAAAUAUUUGUUAAAUGCAUUUGGUUGAUAACACAUUAGUUCCAUUGUUUCUCUUUUUAGUUUCUAUCCUUGAGAGUGGGAUGUGGAAGCCUCCUACCAUUAUUGUUUGGCGCUCAAUGUGUGAUCUGGGCUUUAGUAAUGUUUCUUUUAUGAGUCUAGGUUUCCUUGCUUUUGGGGCAUAGAUAUUAAGAACUGAGUGGCCACCAGAUUGUUAAUUUCAUGUGUGAAUGAUUUUUGGUAUGAAUCAAAGUUAUAGCAUUUCCAAAGAUGUUGGGUGUUUAAUUGGUGAGCAUUUCCAAUGAUGCUUGAUGUUUUAUUGGUGAAUGUUCCUGGGUAUGAAGUACAGUUUGAUGAUGUCCCACACAACUUAGGAAUGAAGGAGCUGCACAGCCUACAGACAGAUCUGAACCCUUUGGAUGUACAUGGUUGUGCCUGCCUCAUGUCUCCUUCCAAAUUUUUACUCAGAGCACACAGAUCCAACUAAGUCAUCUCUAUCCUUCCACUGCAAAUCUUCUAGAUCUGUACAUUCACAUCCCCUAAGCUUUAUACAUCACAGAUUUCCCUUCAGACAAACUUCAAGGAUUCUUGAAGGCGAGUUCAAAACUUCACUUAUCUCAUAAAAUUUUUCUGGUCUCUCAACUGUUCUCUAACUUUCUCAAAGAAAUGAGAGUAUAACAAUAUUCUAGGGUUGUGAUGGAGAAAUGGACUUCAGAAAUGGCAAUAUUUAGGGGCUGAAGAGAUGGCUCAGUGGUUAACAAAAGUUCUCAGCACUCACAUCAAGAGUCUAUAACUCCACCUCCUGAGAAUCCAGUGCCAUCUGGCCUAUAUAGAGACCUACACUCAUGCUACAAUCCUUCCCCCAUACAAACACAGAAAGAAAAAAAUGUAAAUCUUUAAAAAAUAGCAAUAUUUUAUAUAGUUCUGAAGAAAAUACUACUUUUGUUAUUGUAUUUUUUUCUAAUGUAACUCUUGCUGAAUAUACAAAUCUUACUAAACUUGAAUAAUCUUUGAUAAAUUAUUGCAUAAGAAAAGCUGUAUCUGGGCUGGUAAGAUAGCUUGCUCAGUGGGUUAAGAGUGCUUGACAUGACACCUAACAACUUGAGUUCAAUCUUCUGAUUGCAUGGCAUGCAUGAGCUCACACUCAUACACCUACCAUAGAGCAAGCAAUCAUUUUUAUGUUUGACCUACUGUUAAUACCUGACUACAAUUUUGUAAUGCAGUGUAUCUACACUGGCUUAGUUAGACAGGUUUCCUGGAAGUCUCAAUGUAUGGACUGGGCUCUAGUUUGCAGAGCAGACUCAGUUAUGAUCUGUAAGUCAUCAUAGGCCAGUCAUGAGGAACAGCAACUCCCUGGAGAAUUGCUACUUGAAAUCUUUCGAAAUUAAAUGUAUUAAAUUUUCUUGCUAGUUUAGUAACACUCCCACCCCUACUUAAAGAGUCAUUUAAGUAAUAAAAGUGCUGGAAGGGAAGGAAACAGGAAGUGUUUCACAGUAUGCAUACAUUAGAUCUAGCUCUGAAAAGCAAAGUAUCAGGGCCACAUCAGGCACUGCCUUUCCUCAUCAUGAGUCCCAAGAGUCCUCUUCUCUCUGCCAGUUUGCUAGGAGUUGCUGAUGAUGAUUCUGAUUUUUCUUCCUCUUUUUCCUCUUCCUCUUUCUCCUCUUUCUCUUCUCCUUCUAUUUCUUCUUUUCUUCUAUUUCUUCUAUUUCUCUUCUUCCUCUUCAUCUUCCUCUUCUUCUUUCUUCCUUCUCCCUCCUCUGCCUCCUCCUUCUUUUAUUUUCCUUUUAGUUUCUUCCUAAAUUACAUAUUGGCUUCUCCAGAAAAUACACUUUUAAACAAGCCAUGCAUCCAUCUCAUUUCAUUUAAUUUUCUGGUCUCUCAGUCUCAUCACCUUGACUAGGACUGGGAAGUGAGGCAGCAGGAAAUUUUAUGAAACAAUGUGUAACAUAUUGGCUAGCUGUGGCUCAAAAUCCUAAAAUCCACUAUCAAUUUUUUUUUUUUGGUGGUGGUGGUAGUGGUAGUGGUGGGGCAAUCCCUAUCUAGAAAGAUCUGACCUACUUCCCUUGCUACUUUGGUUCCUGUAGCUCUGCUUUUGAAUGGAGGGCUUAUUUGUCAGUGCUGCAUGGGUUAUUAGCAGGAAUUCAGAUAUGAGCAAUCAAGGCAUACAGGCCACCACCGAGUAACAGAAAACAGCAAACAAUCAAUAAAUCUUCCUUGUUUUUGCUUUCAACUAUGAGUGGUUCUCAAAAAUAUAAAAAUAAAAAGAAUUUCUUCUAAGAUCCUAGUGAGAACACAUGACAUCAACAUGGUCACCAUCAUGGUGGGGCAUCUAAGCAUGACCCUCUCUUGACUUCUUUCUUUCUUGACUUCUGUAUGAUAUCUCUAUGACUAUUACUUUCAUAAAUGUCCUUAUCACUCUCAUAGAUUUUGGCAAAGAGCACAGCUGGAAGGCAGAAUUUUUAGACAUAAACAUUAUUUAAUCUACUCCCAUUUGACUGGCUACUAUAUCCAAGAUCAACAUUAAAUUUCAAACUCUAUAAAUAUAGCAAACAGUUCAAGAUUCAUCCACAUUCCUUCAACUGAAACUUUGGUCACUAAAAUCUCUCAUGAUUUUUUGUGGAAAAAGCACUCCUUUAUCAAUAUGGAGGUAGGGGCGAUUCUUUCUUGAAGAAUUAAGAGUCUUUAGGGUCAAUGAGAUCUUGGUGUGAAAAUCUACUCUACUCUGUGAUACUGUGGGAUGAGAAUUUCGGAUGGAGUUCUUCAAAGGAUGGUAGGGAAAAAAAUUAACAGGUGAGCAGUAAAAUUCAUGUUGGAUUUUAUUCAAAUAUGGGGGAGAAAAAAAGGGGUAAAUGAAAGGAUUAUCAGGCAGUUUAAAAGGUGAGCCAAGCAUAGUCCAUAUAGUGUUGUAUACUGAGGACAUAAGAAAGUUACUGGCCAGAACGAGAGAGAGCAGACAAUCAUUUCAGGGCACUCUUUACCAUACGGAUACAGAGAAAAUCAUUUUAAGUUAACUCAUGUAACAUCUAUAAUGAAGUUUCAUCUAAAGAAUUUGCUAGAAAAUUCACAACCCUUGUUAAGAAUGUAAAUCAGGAAAAUAGCCAUAAAUAUGUACAGGGGAAGUCUUGUGGGUGUCAUCAUUCCCCUUAUAAUAUUAUUAGGAUGAAGCAGAGCUGUAACUGUGGUUUCUGGGAGUAUCAACUCACAGGAAAUUUAAGGAGGCUAAUGUUGAAUCUAGAUGUCAGCUAUUUGUGAAGGAUUCUAAAAAUGACGCUUGAGUAUAAGGAUUACAUGAAAGAGUUGUGGUUGAUUUUCCGGGUCAAAUCUAGCAAAAGUCUCAUGGAGCCACAUUUUUUUCCUUAUUCUUAGAUAUCCCCAAAGAGCUUUGUGAAUUCACAGUUAACUAUAGGGUAGUUUCAGCCUUGUUUUGAAGGCCUCAGGCUUCAUUUCCUACAACAUGUGCUCUGAGGCCAAAUGGUGCUUACCUGUUUUGCUCACCACCAUAGCUAAUACCAAGAACAAAAACUAGCACAAAUGUUCAGCGACUGUUUGUAAAAUGAAUAGAUUUAUCUUUUAUUUCUCCAGAUGGCCCAGGUCUGUACUUGGUGUAUAACCUUUCCUUGGUAAACAUUUGUUGGGACAAACACCCAAUAAAGAGUUAUUUGGCUCAAAAACACAGAGUGCUGUAUUUUAUAAAUUUGAUUAUAGGUCAUGAAGCAAACCUUUUCUAAAGUAGAUCACUGACCUUUUAAAAUUAUAUAAUAAAGACACCUAUGCUUAUGCAGGGCCCCUUUUUUUUCUUCCCUAAUGAACUCUGUACCUUAUCUGAUACCAGCCCCAACUUAUAAAUUUUAAGCUAAAAAAAAAUCCUUCCCAAAUGAAGUCCAUUUGCCAUUGAAGUGGGGAUACUAACAUUCAAAGAGCCACAAUGCACUGAAACUCUGUUUCCGUGCUUUUCAAGUCAGCCAGUGGUCUCUGGAGCAUUUAUUUUCGGGCGCAGAGAGUGGAAACCACAGACGUAAACAUGGCCUGGAAUAGCAGGAUCUGAACACAUUGUAGAGUGUUGUCUAUAAUGUGCAUGAAACAGAAUGCCAUGCUUUUCUUGUCUCCAAAGAUAUGAACAAUUUGUGCUUAGAGGCUGUAUGCAUUAUUUAAUAAACCAAGUGAAUCAAUGCAAUGCAAAGAUGGAUAAAAAUAUCUGUUGGCCCACAAACAUGAAAUAAAAAUCCAAAAUGUUCAAAGUAUGAUGAAUUCUAUGGGUGCUAUUGCUAGUAUUACUUUGGGAAGAUACUCAUCACUGAUUUUUCUCAUUUACUCUACACAUACUGGUUGUGUACUUUUUAAUUAUUUGUAUUCUGUCCCAUAUUUUCAAGUUCCUUGGAAAGAGCUAAGUUACAUGCAUCUUAAAUUAUAGAAAACACAAUAGUAUAGUAACAUUCAUGCAUGACUAAGUAGGAAUUUGUGCUUUAGUAUUGUAUUUGUAAUUGAUACAUUUAUAAAUAUACAGAUUUUUUCUUAAGUGUAACCUAUCAAAAGAUUGAAAUGUGAUAAAAAUUUCAUUCUUUCAAAGUUUUUUUUUUUUUUUAUUGUAGCCCAGGAUAGCCUGGAACAGCAAUCCAGGCUGACCUUGAAUUCAUGGAAAACUUGCCAGCAGCUUUGGCCUCCCAAGUCAUGAGUGCAUAAGCACAACCCAUACAUGGAUAAAAUGUAGGAAAAUUCUCUCUCUCUCUCUCUCUCUCUCUCUCUCUCUCUCUCUCCUCACAUGUACUUGUAAGUCUGUUUAUAACUUUUCCCAUUAGCUUUGGUAAUAAAAGUAAAUCUGAUAUUUAAAAUCACACGAAACCAAAGGUGAUGAUAUAGGUAGUUAAGGACAGAGUGUUGAAGACUGAACCUACAGUUAGUAAUCAAACACUCAACUUAUGAGCAGAGAAAAAAGUAUAACCCAAGAAGCCAAAUAAUAGGUGGGUAGAAUAAAGGAAGACCACACUGCACAAAUGAUGUCCCAAAAGCCGUGAGGAAAAAGAUA
ensembl:processed_transcript Gm4117 predicted gene 4117